rnacentral:lncRNA from 1 species
AAAAUAGUAACUAGGAAUGCCUUCAUACUCCACUUUUAACCAUCUUCUCUUGUUGGGGUUGGAAUUUUUAAAUCCCAACCAAACAUGGGAUGGUCUUUCCCUAGUAAGAUCAACCUGGACCUUAACUCUAGAGGUACUGCCCCUAGUUCUUUGAGAUGUAGGUGAAUCUAAAAAUAGUACUUUUCCAAUACUCUCCAAAAUGGUUGACAAAAAGACUUUGUUGUAACAAUGCCAAGGGAGACAUGGAAUAGACACCCAUAUAGGAACAAUAGGUGUUUCCUUUUCAGGUGUAAAAUCCGGGGUCCAAGCUUGCAUUCUCAUAGUUUGUCCUUCAAUGGUCAUUUUCAGUUUAGUCCAAACAGCUUGGUAGUCAAGCUCAUUAUCCAUAUCAAUGUAGACAUGCCUAGAAUUGAAGUGAGUGAUAUUAACACCCCCCAUCAGUUGAGUUUGUAAAAUAAAGCUUUUUCUCACUUGUUCCAUUCUAGGCAUGAUGUUUGUAAACUUACCCACUAAAGUGUAUUUUCAAAUCUCAGCCAAUUUAACAUAAUAGUCAUUCUCAUCAAUAAGAACAACAGGCAAUCCUUGUCUAGUCGUGUGAAUAGGUUCAUUUAAACUAAUUGGGAUUUCAUUUGUGGUCUGGUUGUAUCUCAGCCUAGCAACAAAGGAUUGAACCACAGUGUAUGGGGCAGGUUUCGAGUUUUGAUUAGUGUUGUUGUUGUUAUUAGGUUGCUGACCCUGUUGUUGAUUGUGAAACUGUCUAGUAGUAACAGGAAUGACCUGACCACCCUGAUUAUUAUUUCUAUCAACUUGGAGAUCAGGAUCAUACCUUGAAUAAUUAUUGGAGAUUUUGGGGAAGUUGUUGUGGUACUCCUCACUUGCACGAUCGAAUUGGUUACCAGAAUUACCUCCCACUUGUUUAUAGGUGUUCCUUUCUUGCUCAGUGUGCUUCACAUUGUUACCUUGUCGGUGAUCUGAUUUGGCUUCUUUGAUCUUCUUUUUUCCUUCCUCAGCUUGCUGCUCAUGCCGUUUGAGUGAUCAGAUUUUUCUUUUACUUGUUCCUGUCCUUGCUCAAUUGCAUUCCCAUUCCUCCUACCUUUGUCAUCUUUGUUAUGCAUAAUUGGUAAAGUACCUGCAUUAAGAUUAGGUGUUAGUUGGGAUGAAUUACCUGUCAUAGCAAAGGAAAAAUUGGAAGUUCCAUUUGUUGAAGCUCUUGAAUAUGUGGUCAUGUUCUUCAUAUUAGUGCCAUGUUGAUCAAUCGAAUUCUCCCCCUGUUGAGUGUUGUUUUCGUUUAUCAUUGUUUUUGCAUCAAUUAUUAGUGGAGCCGCUGCAUUGACAUUUUGUGUCUCCCGUCGAGUACAACUUGAGUUUUCCCCUGUACUUUCGUGUUUCUCUUGCUGGCCUUUGGACUUGUGAUCAGUUGGAAAAGAUAGAUUGUUGUUGUUAGUGAUUUCUCUAUCAGUUUGAUGGAGCAGUGGAGUUACAUGAAUGUUUUGAGCCUGAGAGUUAGUCUUUUUAUUGAACUGCCAUUGAUUCCGGCGAUAAGAGUUUUAAAGUCGCCGGACUUCUCGCCGCCGGCGAUUCCGCCGUUCCUCUGCCUCGAGAUUUGGCUUAGAGGUGACUCAUCCUUGGGAGAACAAACCCCAUUAAUCAAAUCCUUUCAAAUUUGACUGGAAGUCGAUCGAUAAUGGGUACGCGACUCCGGAGAUUCCGUCGCGAUUUCUUCCAAAAUCGCCUCUUGAUUCUGAUCGAUUGGGAUGGUGAAAUGGAUAAUUUUUGGACUGGUAACAGAUCCUGAUGAGGGGAAUUCAUUUCCCUACUUGAUUCCUCUCGAUUCCAUUCAGAAAUCUUUGGGGAAAUAUUUUCGCGAUCUUCGACGAAAACCCUUUCAAUAAUCCCAGGUUCCAUCGCAUCUUUCACCUGCAAUUUUGAGGCAUUCUGGGAUUGUUCUUGGAGCGUGUUAAGCUGGGGUAGGGAUCCUACAUCAAGGCACUCCUUUUGGGUUUGGUCCGGCGGCCAUUUGACGGCUGCCGGCGGCCCACGCGCCAUUGCAGCGCUGGGCGAAUGUGGGAUUCAGCCGUUGUGAGAAAGAGCAUCUGCGAAGAGAGAGAAAAUCUAGAGAGAGAAAAAAUUCCGGAAAAUGAGGCGCGAUCAAAUAUACUAAAUUGACUUUCAAUCUUGUGGUUCUAAACAUGCCACGUGGCAAGCUGAAAGUAAAUAAUUACCAAAAAAGGAAAGAGGUCAUUCCUUUUUUUUAAAAAAAAAACUAAAGUGGAAAAAAAGUCUUUUAAAAAAAACAGAGGGAGUAAUUGAUAUAUAAUCAAGGCUAGCUAUAAAGUAAGUUGACAAGAAAUUUCAUACAGUCAAACACAUAAGUCAGAAGUCAAUGAAGUUAUCUCAAAUCACUAAGUAGAUAUAAUUACAAGUCAUUAUUGUCUUUUCAACAUAUUGUUAUUUCUUAGCUUUGAUGAUUUGAAAAACAAAGGGAUCAUAUAAGGGAACCUAAUUCGAAUGGUUUUCAUAUACAAGAAAGGACAACUAGAAAAAGUACACACAACCUCUAGGUUCUAGGUCUGCAUGAGUUGGUGCACAGCUCUCGAACGACUAGUAGUAGUAGAAUAAUAAUAAUAAUAAUAAUAAUAAUAAUAAUAAUAAUAAUAAUAAUAAUAAUAAUAAUAAUCAUAAUUCUAGAGUAGUGUUGUAAACUCAAUCAAUCAGCUUACUUGGACAUGUUCCUUUGACAUGUAUCAAUUGUCAGCUUCCUUCUUCACCAACACUUGAUGUAGACACAUCAAGAAGCUUUGUUGGACAUGUUCCUUUGAUAUGUUCUAAUCGUGAGCUUCCUUCUUCUUCAAUGCUUCCCCUUAAGCUAUUGAGUAGAGGAACAAUUACUCCUAGCUUGCUUCGAAUACCCAGAAAAAAGAACUUUGAAUACAGAGCAAAAACUUUUUUUAUCAAUGCUUCGAUAUAUCUAUGAUGUCUAGUCGUUGCUCGUGAUAGUUCAUUUACAAAUUGAUACGAAUAGUUCCACCAUUAAGAGUAGUAUGAUAAUUCCUAUCACUGAUUUGACAUGACUCAAUAUUAUUCCUCUUCUUAUUUUCAGUUUGAAAACUUUUAUUGUUCAGAGAACCUGCUCCAUAUUGAAUGUUCCGAGGACUUGUUUCCUGUCCAACAUGCCUGAAACAUGUUUCUCUGGAGUUAAUGUUAUUGAUUCCUCUUCCCCUACUUUUUGAGCAGAGAAUAUCAUGUUUUUGUUUUGUUGUGGGGCACGUCUUUUUCAUCUUUCCUUUUAUCAAAACUCUUGAGAGCAUAAAUAAAUUGAUUAAGAAUAGAAUAUGGUGUCUUACCUAAUAUGACAAAGAUCUUGUAUUUGCGAUCUAAACCUCUAGCGAAAUAAAUUACUUUAAUUUCUUGACUAUAAGCUUUUUUCGAGCAUUCUUUUAUCUCCUUGGUAGUCGAGCAUCCCACAAUUAGUGUACAUGCUUUUUUUGGUCAAGGUUCCUGAUAUCCAACUCCUUAGUAACUCAUAUUUAUCCUCCUAAUCAUAAAUGGUGAAACUAUCUUUUGCACCCUUCUCAACUUUUACAACUUUUCCAAUCCAAUAGAACACCUGUUUUUACUUGGUUCAUUAUCUGUGAUUGGAUAUGUUUUUUUCAUCAUGUGAAUCAAUUGGGAUAUUUGUGUCCUCCCUAUGAUGUAGUUUGUUGGCUUAAGUUUUAUGGAGCAAGCGACAAUGAGUUGGUAAAGUUGAGAAGGUCGACAUAGUUUGGUAGAAGCUCCAUUGCAACCUGUGAUUUUUUUUAUCAAUACUCAGUUAUUGAAAGAAUUUUAUGCUCUGAUACCAUGUAGAAAUCUCAUGUCUAGGAUUAGAGAAAUAAAGAAUUGUAUUGAUGAUUAAAAUUGUUAAGAACAUACUGCUUAUAUAGGGAGAGAAUUGUAUAGUCCUAAGCUAACUAUACUUAGAGUACUAUUACAAUACCUAUUACUACUAUAAAAAUAAUAAUGCAAAUAUAAAUAAUAUAAUCCUAAUUAUACCUAUAAUAUUAAUCUAAUCCUAGUCGUAAUAUAAUUCUAAUUAAUAUAAGAAGUCUAAUCUUAGUUUCGACUCUUAUUCUAGAGCAGUGCUUUAAACUUGUCAGUCAGCUUCGUUGGACCUGUUUCGAUCGUCAGCUUCUUUCUUCUUCAACAAAAAGUACGUGGCUAAAUGCAGAGUCUAUAUACACCUAGAUCACUUAGCACUUAAAAAAAGUAUAGAAGUAUCAUUAAUACAAACAUCUAUAGUCAUUAUAGUCCAAUCAAAAUGAAUAAUUGAUAUAUAAUCACGUCUAUAAAGCAAGUAGAUAAGAAAUUUCAUAUAGUUAAAUACACAAGUCAGAAGUCAAUGGAACCAUCACAAAUCACUAACAUAUUAGUUUGUAAGUAGAUAUAAUUACACAUCAUCAUUGUCUUUACAACACAUUAACAAUAUCAUCAUCGAUUGAGAAAACGAGUACACAUCAUUUGAAUCUACACCUUUAGGAUAUAAGUGAAACCAUUUAUUUGAGUACAAACAUGUACCUUUCCUUAAUAUAUCUCCUUGUAACAACACUAGACCUUAACUAACAUGUCAAACCAUGAAACACUACGAAAACAAUCACCAAUCAAUAUUGCCAUCACCAAAUUUAUCAAAUACAACAAGUCAAUAACAUCAUGAAAUCAUACUCAUCAUGACCUUACAGUUGUAUACUCACUGCAUCAGACAGAAACUGAGGUAUCACAAUGCCUUUUCUUGAUAGUUACUAAUCAGUAUACAGAGGUUUCAUAAAUAAAUUGUUAGUCACUAAAAUAUUAUGAAAUAAAUUAUGGUUUUGACCGUUGUGUAGCUCCUUGAAUCUAAAGUUAUACAUGGUUUCAGAAGAGCACUCUCUUCACAAGACUAUUAUUUAUGCUUUUCGGAGAAUUUAAACUAUGUAUUCACUCAUGUUUAGAUGUAUGAAGUAUGUUAUUUCAUAUUAAGAGUAUGUUCGGACCAACAAUGACAUUAAACGCCAAUUCUGCUCAAAAUAUUGGUUCAGGAGAUGCCUAUAUCAGCUCUACUCCUUUUAAAUUUUCGUAUGAUGUUUUAAAGUGAAUACUAGUUGGUUGAUCAAAAAGAGGUCAUCAACAUGUCAAUCUCCCCCCCCCCACCCACUCAUGAAAAUGACCUUACCAUAUUGUUCAUCCAUCUUAAUAUAUAUUGAGUUUUCGGUCCUUAAAAUGUAGUGUCCCAAUAAAAUAACCCACUAAAACUAUACUAUUGAACUUUUUCUUACCAAUAUUCUUCUAAAUUAUUUCCUCUCUUCUUCGACUCAUUUUCUUCUUCUCCUUUGCGUUCUUUUUCUUCUUCUUUUUUUCUCUUUCUAAAUUGCUGCCUCUUCUUUCUCUUGUGUUUGUCUAUGAAAGGAAAAUGUUUUUAGUGUGAAGUGUGGGGUGGAAUUGGUGUGUGUGUGUGUGUAGAUUCAAUGGCGUAUGCAAAAGUAAUGAAGGAUGGCUAGUUGAACAUCUUUAUAUAAAAGAAUUAUAGAAAAUAUAUAGGUCAAAAAUUAUUUUUCAUGUAUAUAUACUAAAUAUUGAAUACCCUCGAUAAAUUUUUUUAUUUUCCCACUCGAUGAGCUGCAGGUGACGGCGUUGAAUGUGUGGUUGUGGUGCCGUGGUAAUUGUGAGGGUUUGGAGGAGACAAUAUCACCUGUGUUUCCUGAUUUCAUUAGGAAAAUCAUUUUUCUUAUUUUUAAGAAAUUUUUUUUAACUAAGAAAAAUAUUUUUUUUCAAUUUUUUUGAUAAGCCAAACAUAAGAAAAUAAGAAAAGAUUCGCCUUCAUACCAAACACUCUCUUAGUUGGGUUUUAAUAAAGGCAUCUCAAUUUCAAACUCUAAUUAGCGACAACCAUAUAUACAACAAAUAUGUUUAUCCUUUUUAUUUUGUCAUAUUUUGUUUUGAUUGAUUUCAAAUUUAAUUUCAUAUUUUUAUAUUAAAAUAAGUUAAUCUCAUAAAAAUAUCAAAAUAAGUGAACAAAACACGUAAAAUUUAUUUAAAAUAUUGAAAUUAAUGUAAUUAUUGUUAUUUUUAUUAUACAAUACAUGUAAAUUUUUUGAAAUAAUUGAAAGUGAAAAUAUAAUAAAUUAAUAAAAGGAAAAAAAAAUUUAAAGUGAGGAUGUAAAUAAAUAUUUUACAAAGAAAGAAAUGAAAUUAAUUAAAUAAUUAAAUCAAUUCCGGGGCUGAUGGAAUUGAGAAAAAUUUAUUCUGCGCUCGAUUCAAAGACCCAAAAAUUCUUUUUUGUGUGAUAAUUUAGCCUUUUAAAUUCAAAAAAUUGCAAAAUUCACAACUUUUUAUACAGGCUUGAAAUCAAUUUCACAACUCAUUUAGAAAUGAUUUAGGGUUUACAUCGAGAGGGGUAAAACAAUAAUUUUACAAAAACUUUAAAAAAACACCAGGUCAUUACUAUUAAAUCUCAAGAAUACUCUUUGAAUUAAUAAAUAUUAAUUAUUCAAUAAAAUAAUACAGUUACAAAAUAAUAGUAAUAUUUUAUAAUCCCAAAAAUAUUAACUUAAGAGUACUGCUUUUUAUAGAUUAAGACAGUCACCAUGAAACAAAUCAAGUGUUCCCUGACAACUUUGAUAUAUAUAAAUAGUUCAGCAUGAUCUAACCAAUUCAUUCAUCUCCAUCUAUAUUUUCUACAAUAAAAUUAAUUCUAUAUUUUCUACAAUGAAAAUUAAUGUUGUUGCUCUGCUGGUUUUGCCAUUGUUCCUCUUUAUGGUGGUCUCAGCCCAUGAGCUAUCUCUUCCCUUUCAUCUUCCAAUCAAUGAAACCUUUGGACUUGUCACCUAUUCAUACAAGGGAGAAUGUGGAAUGCAUGGUGGUGGAUGAAAAUGUCCUAUUGGACUGUGUUAAUUUGUGGUAUCUCUGGUUGGUGUGGAACCAUAUCAUCAGGUUAUUGUGUUCUAAAAAAUUGUCAGACUCAAUGUCUAUACCCGUACCCAUAAGGUCGAUGUGGAUGGGAAGAUUAUAUUCAUACAAGGGAGAAUGUGGAAUGCAUGGUGGUGGCUGAAAAUGUCCUAUUGGACUGUGUUAAUUUGUGGUAUCUCUGGUUGGUGUGGAACCAUAUCAUCAGGUUAUUGUGUUCUAAAAAAUUGUCAGACUCAAUGUCUAUACCCGUACCCAUAAGGUCGAUGUGGAUGGGAAGAUGGUGGUAGAAAAUGUCCUAAAGGAGUGUGUUGUAUUUACUCUGGUUGGUGUGGAACCACAUCAGACUAUUGUGAUGUUGAUAAAUGUCAAAGUCAAUGUUCAGGUCCGUUCCCACAAGGACGAUGCGGAUGGCAAGCUGAUAAUGGAUCAUGUCCAACAGGAGUGUGUUGUAGUCUAACUGGUUGGUAAGGAACCACAUCGGAUCAUUGUGGUUCUAGAAAAUGUCAAAGUCAAUGUGAAAGACCACCCCCACCCCACCCCCAUUAAUUCCAGAGGGACAAUGUGGAAAGCAAGCUAGUGGCAGAAAAUGUCCUACCGGAGUGUGUUGUAGUGACUCAGGUUGGUGUGGAACCACCUCGAUCUAUUGUGAUCCUAAUAGAUGCCAAAGUCAAUGUUCAGGCCCGUUCCCAUAAGGACAAUGCGGAUGGCAAGCUGAUAAGGGACCAUGUCCUACUGGAGUCUGUUGUAGUUUAGAUGGUUGGUGUGGAACCACGCCCGCUUAUUGUGCUUCUGAAAAUUGUCAAAGCCAAUGAAAAACUACUCUAAUAUCCACGAGAAUCGUACGAGUGGUAUUGAAAGCUUCUAGCUAGCUCAACGUUGUCUAGAUAUAUAUGGUAACUCAUGUAUUCCUAAUUACUAUCUAGAGGAUUUACUCCUCUAUUGCUACCGAUCGAACGAAUAUUAAUGUGUGCAAUGAUAAUGCAUAUAAAAUGCAUCAAGAAAUAUAACAAAUAAAGGACUUUUGUCUAAAUUAAAAUUCCAAAGAGGUAACUAACACACAAUUACGUUAGAAAAGUAUCAUAGAGGAAAAAUUGUUUAUAAAUACUUAAUUAAAUAGGAUCUUAUUUAGUUAUGAGGUGAAUUUCUCUUCAUAUAUUCUUCAUAUAUUUUGGCCUGCGGGGAUAUCAAAGAUGAGAUUGUGACGAUUAUCCUCUGUUUUAAAAAAUAAUAUUUUAAAAAUUGAAAAUAAUUUUUAUUCAAACAUGUAGCUAUAGCAACUUUCCCGAUUUUUGCAAAAUAAGUUGAAAGAAUUUUUUUGAUGUUUGGUUGAAAUAGUUUUUGCAAGAAAUAAUUAUUUUUCUUAUUUUCAAUCAAACACUAAAGAAGCAAAAGUGUAUUUGAUUUCUAAUGGAAAAAAACAAUAAAAGAAAAAUAUGAGGAGUGAAAAAGUGAAUUGUUAAACCUUGCAUGAUGGUCAUUAUCCACUUUAACCUUGCAUGAGAAAGCGGCAAUCCAAUUACCUACAUGAUCCCACAAAACUCCUCCAGUGCCAUCAAUUCUUGUGUUAGUUUCAAAGGAACAAUCAAUGUUCAAUUUGGUCAUACAUUCAGGAGGUUUGUUCCAUGCUACCGACGUAAAAAAACAUUUCACUACAAAAAACGUCCAAAUCGCGGGGGUUAAAAUUACAUAUUGUGGCAGUCAGUAACCCCCUCAAUUUGCUGUUUCGGCAGUUGCAAAAACCCCUGUUGUUAGGUCUGUCACAAUUAAGUCGCGGGGGUUUUUCACAAACCCCUGGUACCAGUCGCAGGGGGUUAUUCGCAGGGGUUUUGAAUCCCCCAAAUUGAUAUCAAUAAACCUGUGUUUCAUAUUCUGGGAAUCAAAAACCCAAACUAUUUGUGAGUCUGGGAGUCGUUAACCCCUGCAAUUUAUAAAUCACAUUAAAUUAACAGGGGUGUCAACCCCUGCAAUUCAUGAACAUAGUAAACUUUUUACAGCAUUCUGCUAGUUAUAUUCAAUUUUAUAUAUUAAUGACUAAUUAACAUGUACAUUAUAGUCCAAACAUAAAAGGAUAUAUUAGUAAACAUAUUUCAAACACACAAAUAUAUCAUUAAGCACACUAUUAGUUUUACAAUAUAUAUUGAAAAACGUGAUGCACCCCAACCAUUACGACUACAAGGAACUUCAAAAUCACUGCAAAAACUGUUGGUUAGUCUUGCUUUUAUGGAUGAAAAGUCUUUACCAGCAUCUAAACUCAAGAAAGGACCUGCAACAGUUCAUGGAACAUCACCUACCUGCAAAAGAAAAUGCACAAAAUAAAGGGAAAUUGAAGGAGAUAACUUGAGCCUUAAAAAGAGUGUUGUCAUUGUCGUUCUAAGUCGCGGAAAAAAACAUAAACCCAGAGAAAGACGAAACCCCUCUGGGAUUCUGCUCAAAACCAAAAUCUUCAAUUUGAUUAAAGAAGAAAGAAUGGCUUCAGCCUAUUUAGCAUGGGAGAAGCUCCCAAGCGAACUACUGACAUUCCUAAAUUGCUUCUCCGAUAUUAUUUAAUCUCAAAUCACCAAGUCUCUAUGCCUUUUUUUCUCUAUCGCUUAAAAUUCAUCUUUUCUCCUUUGUCUAUUUGAUGCCCUCAUCACUUUCCAGGAUGCUAGCAGAGUAAUGAAAGACACUAAUAGAUACUCAGUAUGCAGAUAUACUACUCUCUAUUUCGUGCCUUACAAAGUUAUAGACUCAAACUUGGUUGAAUCUUAGAAGACUUUUGAAAACGCUGCCAAUGCAUUUAUGUCAACUUGGGCUUUUUGAAGCCAUUUAUGUCAUUGCCUAUAAAAUUCGAAUUCUAGCAGAAAGAGCAGAUAAAGAGUUGGCUUCUAUUGGAAGAACUCCUGAAAAGUUGAAAGGGGUGGCUCGUUUCUAAUGAAAGUGUUUCAGGUUCUUUAUAGAAAAGAAUCAAAACCUGUUGGAGCUUUCUAUGUGGCUUGCCAGCUUUUCAAAAUUUAGUUUAAGCUCAGAACAGUUCACUUGUGUAAAAGUGUUACAUGAAGCAUUGAAAUUGCCUGCAUUUUUUAUUUCGAGAAAUUUCAUCUUAGAGAUAAGGUUACUUACAUGUAUUAUACUAGACGGUUGGAGGUGUACAAUGAAAAUUUCUCCGCUGCUGAUCAAGGUAUCAUAGCCAUCGCAAUCCUCUAAAAGAAAGAAAUAUAAGGAUGAUACUAAAAUAUCUUAUAUCUGUGAAGCUCUAAAUCGGAAUCUUACCUAAAACAUUAUGCUUUCUCUAAAUCAGCUUCUUCGAUGCGCUCUGCAGGAACAUGAAGACCAGUUUCUAAGGUUUGACGUUUAUCUUGUCUUCAAGAAGCUACUAAAGAAGAUCUAUAUUAUCCAGUAGCAGAAAGAUCACAAUAAAGCUCAUGAAUUGCUUAAACCGAAAAAGUAUAUCUAGCUUAGAAAUGAGGACGAAUUACCUUUAGAGGCACGGAUAGUGGCAGCAUAGCUCCUUGACAGUGGUUGUUAGGCCACUGUAAGUCACAAAACAAAACAUCCUUAACAUUAACAUACUAAGGUUAUAAGCAUUAAGCAACAAGAACUAUGCCUAAAUCUAAAUAAGUAGGAGUCGGCUAUAUGAAUACUCACAAUUCGAUUUAUAGACAAAGAUACUGGUAGAAACAACGUCUUUCCUUUAUAUUUCAACACUUGUACAGAGAAUUUGCAUGUUAAAUGAUGCACUAGAAUAUACACAUAGUCCAAACAUGAACAAAUGUAAUCUGCAAAUGCACAAAAUCCACGAACACGUAGAUGGUACUAAUUUGUUAUAGCUUCUUUUCAAUCCUCAUCUUUCUGUUCUUGGUCUCGAGGUGAUGUAUGCAGAAAUGAGAUUCUCUGAGAGAACAAAUGAGUUAGCAGUAAACUAGUCUUUUCAUUAUAAAAUUUACUGCUAAACUAAUCAAAAUAUGACUAAAGCAUCUCUCAUUAGUAUAUAUAUUAUAGCUUUAUAUGUCAUAACCUCGAGUCCUUAAGUGGUUGUUGAAUGCUCUUAACGGAGCCUCAUCCAGUUUGUUUUCGAAAAACAAGAGGAUACUUCCUAACUCCUACCUCAUAUUAAAUUUUGGAGCCUUAUCUACUGUCUUUAAAUUAAAUCAUUGUUUCUGCAUUAGUCAUUCUCUUGAACCCCUUUGAAAGUCUACGGGUUAAACAUCCCAUAAUUCAGAUUUGAGGCUUCCUAUCAAGGUUCGAACAUGAGACCUCUAGUUGAAAGUGGAAUAACUAGAGGUUUUCUUUACUAACUAAUACAUACAAUAACAGUUAACUUCUCUUAAUCUUGAACCAAAGGUAUGACAAAGUUUAGUUCCCAAGAACACGAAGAAAUUACGAAAGUCGUCACAUUCAAAAUUUCUUUGCUCACAACUUUGACAAUAGCAAUCAAUGGAGUAUAAAUAAGGAAGAACUGAUUCAAUAGCAUUUAGCAAUCAAUGGAGUAUAUCUAUUGAUUCUACUACCACUCAUCCUUACAAAAUAAACUUUUUGGCCAAAUGAAGUUGCUGAAGGGAUUUGAGCAUUUCAGUUCAUUAUUUGGCAAAUACCAACAUGGAUAGCUAAACAAUGAUAAGUAACAAGAUUACAACAAAAUAAACCUGAUUCUACCACAAAAUACAUGUUCAAAUUUAAUAAUUACGAAUACAAUAAAGUAACCUAAUUCUACCUCCAUGCAUCAAUACAAACAACAAUAAAAGAAACUUAUAACCUAGUAAAUACAAUCAGUAAUUUGUACAAAGCUCUCAAUUUGUGAAGAUUCAGAUGAGAAAAUUAAAAGAAUUGAGGUAAAUUCAUUUCGUAAGACGUGAGAAGUGGAAAAUAUUACCUUAGAAUGCCUAUCUCAUUUUGAAUAUGGUGAGUAGCUCAAGUUUACAAAGUUUUGAGGUAGCUGAAGUAGUGGAGAAGCGGCGGCGUAGAGAAGUGUGCCGGCAAGAGAAGUUACGACUGAGAGUAACCCAAUCCUAAUGAGAGAUGGUGUUGUAGAAGUAUGUUGUAUUUCAGAAACUAAAAAUACAUUGAAAAAGUAUAAAGAAAGGGGUGACACUCUUUUAUGUGUAUUUGUAUUUUGUACAUUAUUUCAGUAACUAAAAAUAUUGUAAUUUUAGAAAAAUACAGUAUGAUAAUAGGAAUACCAUAUUUUAUAUUUUGAAUAAAAAAUUAUAUUUACAGGUGGCAGGGGUUAAACCCUGACUAUUAUUUAGAUUUUUCUCUUUCUAGCUGACGGGGUUUUAAACCCCCGCUAUUUACUUUUAUUUUUGUCAGCUACCAAAACCCCCUCUAUUUAAUGUAAUUUGUGGGGGUUACUGCUAACCUCUGCUUUAAAAUCCCCACGAUUUAGACGUCUUUUUGUAGUGUUUUUGGAAUCUUAUUUAUAGAGGAAUUCGAUAAGUGGUAGUAUUCCAUAGGUUGGAAGCUUAUAUUGUUUUUAGUACCAGGAUGUCUACUAAUAUUUAAUCUUUAAAGAUUCUAGAAUUUCAAUUUUUCCAGAUAUUCCAAAGAUAAAUGGUGUUAAAAUGGCAAUAGGAACCAUAUGGUUGAUGUUUAUGGUAGUUAGCUUUUCAGGGGUACAGAGUUGACGAAUGUUCUCAGUUGGAUCAUGAUUAGGCAUAUUUAUGUUGUAAUAUCUCAAUAUUUGCGUUGUGCAUCUGGACAAGAGGAGAAUAUAUGAGUGACGUCUUCUUCCUUGUUUGGACAAGUACAAUAGCUUAGUUGCUGGAGAUGUUCCUAGCAUAUAAAUGGAUGCACUAGGUAGUUUAAUUAAAAGAAUUGUCCACAAGAAGAAUUUUAACUUAUUCAUUGAUUUUGCUUUCCAUACCCUUUUGUGUUUAAAAUUGAGUUUAGCGCAAUGCUAUUUUCUUUCUUUAAUAUACAAUGUGUAUGCACUCCUAGUACUAAAUUCUCCAUUAUUGUUUAAUUUCCAGAAGAGGGUAUCAUUUUUCUCUAGAGAUUGUGUCGUAUAGGUAUUGAAAAUGCAAGUCUUGAUUUCUUUUGGAAUAUCGAAGGAUAAUGUGGAGAAGUUCCAAGUAUUAUCUUGGAGCAUAUGUGAUACUACGAAAUGGGAUUUUGGAUUGUUUAUUGGGCCCUAAAUAACUUGCCUGAGUGUGUGCAUUCCCACUUCCCUCAAUCCGAUUAUCAUUCCAUAGGGACAUUUUCCUUCCAUUCCCUAUAUUACAUGAUAUUUCUUUGUAGAAUAAUUUGGAAGUUUUGCUAAUACUUUUCCAAAUGUAAGAGUCGUAGCCGUAAUAUUUGGUUGUGGAUGAACAACAUCGAUUGUUGUAUUUUUUUGUGAGGACUUUAUUCCAAAGUUGGCCUUUGUUAGUAUGUAAUCUUCAAUUUAGGCUUGCCAAGAGAGCAACAUUUUUUCUUUUCGUAUCUUGGAGCCCUAGACCCCCAUGAUUGGUAGUUUUCUAGAUGUUUUCUUCUUUUUUCAGGUGUGGUUCCCAGACAAAAUUUCUUUGGAUUCGAUCUAUAUGGUUACAAAUUGAUUGGGGAAGGAGAUUACAUUGCAUGGAAUAGGAGGAAUAGUCGAUAAAACUGAUUUUAUGAGAGUGGUUCUGCCUGCUGGCGCUAGGAAUCUAUCCCUCCAGGCAUUAAGCUUAUUGUUCAUGUUGUCUAUGAUAUAUUGAUAGUACAAACUUCUUGGAUGGAGGUUUGUGAUUGGGAAACCAAGGUAUUUCCCAAUCUUAUUUGUUUGGCGAAUGUUCAUCAGCGUAGAGAGGUUGUUCCUAUCCUCUGCACUUACGUUUGAUGAGAAGUAAUUGUUGGAUUUAUUAAUGUUUAUUUUUUGCCUCGAUUUGGGUAGCUAUUGUGUUGAAGAUAUGGAGAAUAGUUGAUGCAUUGGUCUUAUCCGCUUUAGCCAUUAUAAUAAUAUCAUCUGCGAAUAGGAGAUGAGAAAUUGGAGGUCCAUUCUACCAAUUUUUAGGGGUUGCCAUAAUUUUUCCUUAAUGGCGUACUUGAUGAGCCGGGAAAGGGCCUCCACACACAUUAUAAAGAUGUAUGGAGAAAGGGGAUAUCCUUGUCUAAUACCUAUAGUUGGAAGGAAGUAUGUUGUAGGGUUACUAUUUACUAGUAUAGAGAUCGAGGAUGUAGAAAUGCAUGACAUUAUUAUGUCGAUAGUAUUUUUAGGGAAGUUUAGUAUAGAGAGAGAUUGCUUGAUGAACGACAAUUCCAUUCUAUCGAAAGCUUUCUAAAGAUCGAUUUUUAGCAUCAUUUUCCCGCACUUGCCUUUGGUUUUUUGGAAGGAGUGAAUAGCUUCUUGUACAAUUAUAGCGUUAUCCACAACUCUUCUUCCCAAUAUAAAGCUACAUUGUUGGGGACAGAUAAUGCUAUCUAAAUAGGGUCUAAUUCUAUUUACUAAUACUUUAGUGAUUGUUUCAUAUAUUGUAAUGCAUAGGCUAUUAGGUCUGUAGUGGGUGAUUUGUUCCAGAUUUUUUAUUUUUGAAAUGAGGCAUAAAAAAGUUUUACUUAAUUCUGGAGGGAUGGUGCACGAACUAAAAAUUUUCAUGCACGUAUUAACGACUGAUUCCUCAAUAUCUGACCAAUAUUUUUGAAAAAAUAAAGGAUGAAGUCCAUCUGGUCUAGCCGAUUUGGGGGGUUUGAAUGAGUAGAUGGCAUUUUUUAUUUCGUCUUUCUCAAGAGGUCUACCCAUUGAAGUUCUAUCUUCCAUGGAGAUGACAUUUUUACAAGUGGUAGGAUUUGUCCACUCACUUUUUAUAAGGUCGGUGGUAUAAAUAUUUUUAAAGUGAUUUAUAAUUGUAUCUUUAAUAUGAUAGGGUUGUAAGUCCAGUUUCCAACAGUGUCGUGCCAACCUAUGAUUCUAUUUUUACGCCUUCUAUUAGUGGUAGCAAUAUGAAAUAAUUUAGUGUUGCAUCCCUUUCGUUUAUCCACUGUACUCUGGAUUUUAUUUUCCAAAAGUCUUCUUCUCUGUUGAGUAUAUCAUUGAAUUCAUUUAUAAGGUUAUUUUCAAGGUCUAUAAGGUAAAGUUUUUUAUGAUAUCAUUCAUAUAUUGGAGGCCAUUCAUUUUAUUCAGGAUAGUUUUUUUUGUCUAAAGAUAUUUCCAAAAGUUUGUUUAUUCCAGAUCUUUAUAGAGUUGGUGAAGUUUUAUAGUGCACUAUUCUAAUUUUCAUUGUUCCUCCAGUUUAUUUUUACUAGGUUUGGGAAUUCAGGAUGUCGGGGAAAAUGUUAUUUGUAGUUUUGAUGAUUUGACAAACUUAGGGACCUUAUGAAGGGACUUGGUUCUUGUCUCAAUUUGCUUUUUGGCUGCCAGCUGGAGAAACUACAAAAAGUAGGUGCACAGUCUCCAACAAUGGCAGAAGUGGCAGACGCGCUAGAAACCUCACCCAAUGGAAUUAUUUACGUUUUGUGACCUUUCUACAUAAACAAAAUAUUCCUAUAUUCACAAUCAGUUUUUGCAACUUGUAAAAGCACAUUCAAGAACUAUUACAAAAGCUCAGAAAAUCAAGAAGAAGAAAUAUCCAAACAACUUAAGCUCAAGCGAACAUAGUGCGUAGCUGUUUAAAUUAAUUUCUUUCGAUAUUACAUUGUGAACUGAUCCUAAAACUUUAAAGGACUCAGUUUGGUUUAAUCUAGAAAUUGUAAGUUAGAUAGUUAAACUAAUUUAGUGGGCAACCUGUGUGUGGCUUAGAAAAUUCUAAAUCAUUAGUAGGUUGAUAGUUUAGUGGGCAGUCUGUAAGAUUGCUUAGAAAAUCCUAAGUUGUAUAGUGUGAUAGCUUAGUGGGUAGAGUAAUAUCCACUUAGGAUCAUCAAGCAAUAGAGCUAUUGCUUGAUAAUGAGAUUAAAAACAUUUUCUCACAUUUUGUGUAACCGGUUUCCUUUUGCUUGUGAAGAUUAGUGAAAAUGUUUUGAAAAUCCUGUGGGACAGGUCGUGAUUUUACUCCCUUGAGCAAGGAGGUUUCCACGUAAAACUACUUGUGUCAUUAAACUGCAUUUUCUUACUGCUAUUACAUUUUAUUUGUCAAGGGACCUAGUCCAUUGACUUGUUGUGGACGCACAGAUUCUAACAAGUGGUAUAAGAGCAGGUACUCUCUAUCUGGUUAAUACCAAGAGAGUGAUUCCUGUUCUAGAAUGGAAGCUCCACUCAAUCUUAAAGAGGGUCAGUCUUCGGCUCGACCUCCUCGUUUCAAUUUCUAGUUCUAUAGCUGGUGGUAAGUUAGAAUGCAUGAUUUUCUUAUGGCUGAAGACAGCGAACUGUGGGACAUCAUCUUAGAUAGAUCAUUUGUUCCAUGGUGAAAUCACUAGAUUUGUUCCAAAGCCCAGACAUAAAUACGAUGAAGCUGACAGAAAGAAUAUUGAAAAAGGCUACAAAGCAAUGAAGUUGCUUGUCUGUGGUAUAGGUCCUGAUGAGUUUAAUCGUGUUUCAGCUUGUGAAUUAACAAAGGAGAUUUUGGAUUUCUUGAAAACAACUCAUAAAGGAACUGAACAAGUAAAAGAGUCAAAGAUUGAUAUGCUUACUUCUCAGUAUGAAAAUUUCAAAAUGAGAGAAGGUGAAACCAUUCAUGAGAUGUUCACCGAACUGUCAUCAAUUACAAAUGAGUUAAGAAGUCUUGGAAAACCCAUCAGUAUGAAACAAAGGAUAUGAAGGUGUUGACAAUGGAUGCUCUUAUUAGAAACCUCAAGACUCAUGAGAUGAAUCGAAGUUAUGAUCAGUCAAAGAAGGAAGCCAACAAGGAUAAGUCUUUAAUGCUGAAAUACAGGUUGUCUUACCUCAUUAAAAGGUUUUAGAAGAUUGUGAGGAAAAAGAAGAGAUUCAGAAAGGGAGCAAAUGCUCCACAAACUGCAACUCCAAAUGAUGUGGAAAGGCUGGACAUUUUAUAAGAGAUUGUCCAUUACUCAAAGCUGAAAACAAAGAAUAUAAGAGACCAAGAGGCGAUACAGAAUAGCAUAGGGACCUGGUACUUGAUAAAAAUGAUUGAAAAGUUGCAGCUGAUUAUGUGGUCAAGAAAGCUCUUGAUGCAUGGGGAGAUUCUUCGAGUGAUUCAGAAAAGUCUGAUGAAACCAAUGAUGCAUCAAUGGUGGUGGUUCAUGAUGAGGAUAAUAUGUUCAAUGAAAUGUUUGCUUUCAUGGUUUAGUCAAAUGAUGAAGAUGAUGAGGAUAAGGUAACUCUUCUUGAUUUUAAGCAAAAUCUGAAUACUUAUUCUCUUAAAAGACAGAGAAAAUUAGCAAAUGUUUUGAUUGAUUUAAUUUCUGAGAGAGAUUCCAUGAAUGCAGAGUUUGAAAGUCUAAAUAACAACAGAUAUAAAAUGGGUGAGAAAAUGUCACUAAUUGAAGACAAAAUAGCUAAUCUAGAAUCUGAAAAACUAGAACUCAAAAAACAAUUGCAUCUGAUGACUGAGAAUUCUGAAAAAUAGAAAGGAAAGUCUACUAGUUUACAAGUUGAACUGGAAAAAAAAUUGAAAACUACUAAGACUAACCUUGUUUUAGCUUUGGAAAAGAGCAAUAGCCUAGAGAUAGAUAUUGCCAAACUUAAUGAUGAACUUGCAAAUUCCCUUAAAUGGACAAAAUCCUCUAAGUUGUUUUCAAAUGUGACAAAUCAAAGAAACUACAAUAAAAAGGGUUUAGGAAGCUUGAAUAUUACUCCUCCUUUCAAUCCUUAUAGCAAAUAUGUAUUUGUGUCUGAUAAUUUGUUGUGUCUUCACUGUGGUAGAAGUGGGCAUUUAAAAAGGGAAUGUAUAACCUGGAGAGAGUCACAUGAAAGAUUCUCAAAUUAUGCAGAAAAGAAAAGGAUUUCAAAAGGGGGAUAUGGUCAUACUGUCAAAAAUACUAAACAAGAAACUACUAGUAACAGAGGACAUGCUCCCGUUCGUAGGGUCUCAAACUUGAAGAAGACAAAGUUGCCACACUAGGUAAAAAAACACUUUCAUUACGCCGUUGUCAGCUUAUUGGGAACUCAGAUUUAAAUGGUUCCCAAAUCUAACAACUAAUGUUUUUGCAGGUGUGUGAAGGAAGUAGCAGCACGUGGUUGUACAUGGACAGUGGCUGCUCAAAGCACAUGACUGAAAAUACCAAAAACAUUCUUUCACUCAAGGCACUUCACGGAGGAGAUUUCUCUUUUGGCAAAAAAAGAAUAAGGUAUAUUCUGGGCAUAGGAAAAUUUGGCAAAUCUCUUGAAGAUUCCAUUGAAAUGCGUACUAUUUUGUCCAAAAAGGGUGAUUUUGACUGCCAAAAGAAAAAAACAUGCAUGCGGCAAAACUAUAAUAACUCAUGGAGAUGAUUUGACAUGCCUAAUUUCUCAAAGUGAAAGUGCUGACUUUCGGCACAUGAGAGUAGGUCAUGUGAGCUCUUCUCUAGUGAACAAACUAGUUUCUAGGGAUCUAGUUCGUGGUCUGAAAAAGAUGAAAUUCAGUGAUAGUAACAGAUCUUUAUUUAAAUCAAAGAAGUAGGUCAGCUCUUAAAGGGUUCUUGAUUUAAUACAUAUAGUCUUGUGUGAACUUGUGAAGAUCUGGAGUCGAAGCGAGAAAAAUUACAUUUCAGUGGUUGUGGAUAACUACUGAAGAUCCAUGUGGACUAUGUUUCUCAAGUCAAAGUCUAAGACUGCUGAUAUGAAUGAUGAUGAUGAUUUACUAGAACUAUUCGAAUUCCAGAACCAUGAAGUGAGUAGGAAUGAAGCUGAGGUGAAUCUGGACUCUAAUGUUUCUGAUCUUAGUCCAUCUGUGGAGGUGAAAAAGGAAGACUAACCUACUAUGGGACCUGGUCCUUCUAAUGAUACAAUCCAAGAGGACACUCAUCCUCCUGCCACAAAUGAUGAUAUGGAAGAUGAAGAAGAACAUAUGGAUCAACCAUAGUCUCUAGACUUUAGAUCUGGAUGGAAGCAUAGUUCAUCUCACCCCUUGAAAAUCUCAUAUCUCCUCUUAAUUUUGGGAUACAAACCAGGUCAAAAAAACAAGGAAUUUGGUUGCAUUAUCAACAUUCAUCUCUACUAUUAAGCCUAAAAAGGUGAAAGAAGUCCUGAUGGAUGUUGAUUGGGUAAUCUCUAUGCAGGAUGAAUUGCAUCAAUUUGAGCAAAGCAAUGUGUGGUACCUGUCCCAAGACCUGCUGACAGAACCAUUAUUAGGACAAGGUGGGUGUUCAGAAAAAAGAUAGAUGAUAAUGGAGGCUAUUAGAAUCCUCAUAUCAUUUCAAACUUUUAUCGGGUUCAAACUAUUCCAAAUAGAUGUUAAAAGUGCCUUUCUAAAUGGUGGUCUGAAGGAAACAAUAUAUGUUAAAUAGCCACGUGGAGUUGAGGAUGCAAAUUUGCCAAAUCAUGUGUUCAAACUCAAUAAAGAUGUGUAUGGGCUGAAGCAGACACCUAGAGCUUGGUAUGAAAUGUUGUCAAAGUUUUUACAGAAGAAUGGCUUCAAGAGGAAGAGAAUUGACAACACAUUGUUUUUUAUGAAAAGAGAUCAAGAACUUCUCAUCAUUCAGGUGUAUGUGGAUGAUAUCAUUUUUGGAGCAACCUCUGAACAUCUGUGAAGAAAUUGGAACCCCAUGGUAUAAACUCAAAAAUGGGAGUAGAUGAGGCUAAUCUUUUAGUAAAUUAAAUAGUGUACAGAGGUAUUAUUGGAUCUCUAUUGUAUUUGACAGAAAGAUGGUUGUACAUGGUAUUCAGCGUGGGAAUGUAUGCACGGUUCCAAGCAUGGCCAGGGAAUCUUAUCUAAAGGCAGCGAAGAGAAUCCUGAUGUAUCCGAAGAAAAUAGGAGACCUAGUCCUGUUUUAUCCCGCAGGUAAUUCCUUUAAACUAGUAGGAUAUGUAGAUGCAGAUUUAUAGGAUAUCAAGUGGACAGAAAGCGCAAUUCUGGAAUGGCUCAUUUUAUUGGAUCCUUACUCAUCAGUGGUUCUCUAAACAAUUAAGGCUGAGUGUUUAGUUGCUGCUUCUAGUAGUGCCCAAUUUCUUUGGAUAAAGCAACAACUUGAGGAUUUUGGAGUCCAUAUCAACACCAUCCCUCUCAUGUGUGAUAAUGCCAGUUCAAUCAACAUGAGAAAGAAUCCAGUCCAGCACAAAAGAGCCAAACAUAUUAAUGUUAGACAUCAUCUUUUGAGAGAUAAUGUCGAGAAAGGAAACACCAUCAUAAAAUACUGCAGGACUAAAUAUCAGAUUGCAGACAUCUUUAUCAAAUCUCUCAGCAAAGAUCAAUUUGAGAGCAACAGGCUGAAGUUAGAAAUGAUGAACAUGCACUAACCUAAUUUCGUCAACAAGCCUCUAAUUCCUGUUUUGGCUAAGAUCUAGAGGGAAGGUAUCCACAGAACCUGUAAUGCAUUGUAUAAGUAAGAUCUUUUUUGUACCUGAAUGCAGGUAUACACCCAUUGAAAUCACAAGAGCAGAGAAUGGCCAGAACCAUUCAAAAAUUGGAUUUCAUCUGCAGUUGAGGACCUGGUCCUUCCCAAGAUUAUCAUUCUUUACAUUUGUUUUAAACUGCCAAAUAAGAACCAUCCAGAUCACCACAUGUCAGUGAUCAGUCCUUCUGACCGUUGUCCCAUCGCCUUUAAUUCAAGUGACGCGUAUAUCUAGGGACUUGACACACAAUUUCAAGUUCUUUUUAUAGUACCUUUGCUACACUCCAUCUUAUUACAUUCCAAAUUUUCUAAGUCUAAAAUCAAAACCUUCUCAAUCUUUCAAUCUCUCUCUAGAAUUUAAGUCUUUUCUUUCGAACAAUCAUGUCUCAAUCCUCUUCUUCUUCUUCAAAGAAAAUGUUGGAUUCUCUAAAUGAGAUAGAUCUAGUGGCUUCUUACACCUUUUCUGAAGCAGCUUCUGUUGAUAAAAGGGACAAGUCGUCUAAGAUAGUGAGCAAGGGUAAAAUCAAAAGAAAACUAAGACUUCUGCGAGAAAGAAGGUAGUUAUAAAAAAAUUGUGGCUUCUGCAACUGAUCUAUUCAUCAUGUGAGUGUAUUGAAUGGAAGGUAAAUCCACUUAGUAAAGUUUCUCAGUUGAUCAAGAGGUAGGUUCAAUUGAAACAUGAAUUGGAUGCAAUGACUGUGCUAGUGAGCAACAAGGAGGAUGAAAUUGCUCUGCUAAAAUAAGCCCUGCUCAAAGCGCAAACAGAGGGACAUGGUACUGAGGUUGUCCAGAAAUAGAGUUAUUGCUUGAUAGUGAGAUUAAAAACUUUUUCUCAUAUUUUGUGCAACCGGUUUCCUUUUGCUUGUGAAUGUUAGUGAAACGAUUUUGAAAAUUAUGUGAGACAUGUUGUGGUUUUACUCCCUUGAGCAAGGCGGUUUGCACAUAAAAAUACUUGUGUCAUUAAACUGGAUUUACUUACAGUUAUUACAUUUUUGUGUGUCAAGGGACCUGGUCCAUUCACUUGUUGUAGACGCACAUAUUCUAACACUAAUCCACAUUGACUCAAAUCGAAAAAAAUUGUUGGCCUUAGCUUAUUUUUUCAAGCAAUUUAAUACUAUAGGGCAAUAGUCCGAAUGAGUACGAAGAAGAUGGAAGACUUUUGAAUCCUGAAACGUAUAUUAACCAUUCAUAGUUACUGAGGAAACGUUCAAGUCUUUCUUUAAUAAGAGUUUUGUUAUUUUUGUAUUUAUUUUUCCAAGUAUACUUUUGACUGGUGAAACCAAGAUCAAUCAUCCCCACAUCGUCUAAGCAUUUUAUGAACGUGGAGCUUUUAGCAUUGUUUAUGGUUUUUCGUCGAACUACUGUCAAUGGUUUACUUCUUAGGAAUGUUAAAAAAAAGAUUACUACGUGAUUUUUUGAAUAUGCCUAUAUCUAUCGCUUUUGCUUCAUUGAUUUGAUUCUCUCAAUAGAUACUGAGAUUCAUAUUGGAAAUCAAAAAUAUAGUACUUCAAACUAUAAGACAUAGGAGUAAUUCAGAUUGAUCAGAACAAAUAGAUAUAGCAAAUAAAUGGAAUUGGAUGCUAUGUCAAUCCCAUAUAUGGAAUUGAUAUUCACAUAUAUCAAGAUAAUAUUGUAGAUUGAUAUAUAGAUCCAUAUCAAAUGCAGCCUCUAUCUUUAUUUUAUUCCAGGGGGCACCUUUAUAACAAGAAUCUAACUAAUAAAUAGUAUGGUAGAAAGGUUUUUGGGAUGCCUCUGUAAUUUCAUUAAAAUCACCACUAAUUAACCUUGGGCCAUUAAUUUUUUUAGCAACACUCCUCAUGUUUUCUUAGAGCAUUUUUCUUAACAUGGUACUAUUUUUUGCAUAUAUAACAGACAAGAACCAUUUAGGCGAUGUCGAGCUUACCUCAAUAGUUGUGUGUAUAUCAUGUUCAGUGAUUAUGAAAGGUUCCACUGUUGCUUCAGUAUUCCUCCAUAAUAAUGUUAUUCCUCGUGAGUAGCCCACCGCUGGAACAUGUAGGACAUCCAUAUAGUACAAAGCUUGAAGUAUCUUAUCAUGGUAUUCCAUCUUGGUUUCCGUGAGUGAAAGUAUGGAAGGGUUAUUUAUUUCAAUUAGGGUGCAUAAGUUGCUCAUGAAGGUCACACCAUUUGCACCCAUACAGUUCCAGAGAAGUAUUGUCAUUGAUGUUUCUAUGUGAUCACUUGAGCUCCCCCCGGUGAUAGUGUCAUAUCCAUGUUCACUGGUAUUUACUUGUUGAUCAUACCCUAUAUUUUUAUGGUAUGCUAGUUUAAUGUUAGAGGAAUAAAGAGAACCACAUAUUUCACUAUGAUGUUCAAGUUGUGAUAGCACAUAUUUAUAGUAACCCUCUUCACAUGUUACGGACUUUUAUCAUGUAUUUCCUUUCGGUGCUUUUAAAAAUGUCAAGCGUCAAUGGUUCCUUCAGAUGAAGAGUUUGAAUUUGGGGAUCUAGGAUGUUUAGUCCCUUUUAUUCCAUUCCCUUAGAGGCUUCUUUGUUGUGGUAUAUAGGAAAUGAUGGUUCCUCCUCCGACAUCUGAGGUACUACUUGUUCCUCCAUGUCUUCUUCUUUCACGUGGCUUUUACUGUUGUCGUAGGUACUUUUGUUGUUGUUGACAAGAAUUUGUUUUCUAGUGUGAUCGUUGGGCAUGUUCUUUUCGUCGGGUAUUUGGUUGUUGAUUUCAUGUAUGCUUUUUUUAAGGUUAUUUUUUCUUUUUUUGGAUAGACUACUGUUGUCCAACCAUUAAUUUCUUUUGGUUGGCUAUGAAAGUUGUUUUUGGAUCCACUGCUACCACUGGAUGAGGAUGGUAGGUUUGUAAGGGCAUGUCUAAAUAAGGUGUCCAAGUCUUCCACAAUGCAUACAAGAGAGGUGUAGAGGGUUUGUACUGUAUUUUUUAGAGGUGCGUACCUAUUAGUACGUCCAUAGGUAGUGUUUUAAUAGUGGGCGAGGAUACAUAGCCUAGAAUAUCUUCCUCUAGUAGUGUUCAUGGUGGAAGUAUCUAUUUUUUGUAUGGUUCCUAUUUGUUUAGGUCAUAGAAUUAUUUUGGCACUUUCGGCAACUGUAUCCACACUGUUGUGUUAUUUAUUUGGGACGUUGUAGAUGGAUUGAAUUUUGGCUCCACCUUGCGGAUGGAUAUGAACUGGGAACCAUGGACCUUUGUGGAGUAAUUUUUUAUAAUUUUCAAUUUUGGCCAGCUUUAUAUGAUAGAAGUCUAUGCUAAAGUCGACAAUGUUUAUCUUCUCUGAUGGUUUCCAGAGUGCUUGGAGGCGGUUUUGGAGGUGUAUGUAUACCUUUUUUUCCGACUAGCUUGAUGAUCUCCAGGGUGCAUAUAGUCAUUGUUUAUCGCAAGAUGUAAUGGGGAUGAAGUUUGGGUGGUUUUAAGGAUUUUUUUGUUCGUCGUGGAAGCUUAUGUUGUCUAGGCCUUGGGUAACGUAGGCUAUGUUUGAAUCUUCAGUUUUUUGUAUAAGAGUUUCAAGAAAUCUUACUUUGCGAUUUACUGGUCUGUUUCUUUUUUCUUCAUUCUGCUUUUUUGUGCUUCGAUGCAGUAGGUCGACUUCUUGAUAACUCAUAUACCUUUGCUCUGCGUUUGCUCUGUAUUCAUUUUCUAUGACAAGAACUUUUUCAGACACAUUUUUUAUUCAUCAUCAAAUUAAUUUUAUAAAAGGUAGUAAAUCAAAUGAUUUGUGGUUGAAUAUCUUAGUUUAUUAAUUCUUUAGGAAACACAUAAUUAUUUACAUUUAAACUUAUACGUAUUUAAUUAAUUAUUUUCAUUUCUUUCUUCGUAAAAUAUUUAUUUACAUCGUGACUUUAACUUUUUUACGUUUAGAUUUUUUAUCUUUCCAUUUUUAAUUAUAUUUUAAAAAAUUACCUGUAUUUUAUAAAAAAUAAAUAAAAAAUUUUCUUAAAAAUUUUCCUCUAACUUUUAUGUUUUAGUUAAUUUUCUUCACUUACUUUGAUGAUAUCCGUCCAAAAUUAACUUUUUUAAGUAUAAGAGAUUUGAAAUAAAAUUUGAAAUCAAUCAAAAGACAAAACAAAUCUAUCUAUAUAUAAUAAUAGGAGAAGAAGAAUAGCCACAUGCCACCACCACAAAUUUUUCAAAAAUUUCAAUAAUAAAUUAUUAAUAUUAUAUAAUUAAUUAAGUAUGUUAAAUUCAAAAUUCAAAAUAAAAAUUGACAUAUAUCAUCAACUUCCACAAGUAAUAACAAAUGGCAGCAUUUUUUUUAAAAAAAAUUUGAUUAUUUUUGGAUAGAAAGAUAAAACUGAAACUACAAAAAAAAGAAAAUAAUAUUCCCUCCGUUUAAAAAAGAAUGACUCUAUUUCCUUUUUAGUUUGUUUAAAAAAGAAUGACCCCUUUCCUUUUUUGGCAACACUUGAACUUUAACUUUCCACGUGACUUUUUAAGACCAAAAAAAUUAAAGAACAUUUUGGUACAUUCCAUAUAACUUUAAUUUAGAACCACAAGAUUAAAAACUCUUUUUUCUUUUCUUAAACUCAGUUCCAAGUCAAACUAAAUCAUUCUUUUUUAAACAGAGGGAGUAGAUGUUAUUUGCAUAAAAAAAAUCUCAAUCAGAAUGAUCUUAGCACGAUUUUAAGAUGUUAUGGCUUUUCUUCAACCACAAAAAAAUGAAUCAUAUAUUAUUUCCGUCUAUGAAUUUGAAUAAUGUGUUGAAAACAUGACAAAAAAUCUCUAUCGGAAUAUAUGGGUGGUCGCUCCACACUCACUCAAGUGAACCUUGGAACCACCUUUGGUAGUAUAAUCUCAUGUUGAUGUGCUUGAUGUAUUGUAAGUGAAUGUAUCUCAUUCUAGGUAGUCUUGAGGAUCAUUUAGGCAUGCUUAGAGAGGGUGUAUGGGCGUUCUCUCUUUGUGUUGCUUAAGUGAGUCUUAGGAUAGCUUUUAGUAAGUGGGAUUAUAUACAAAAAGGUGUGUAAAGUGAAGUUAAGAAACUUCACUAUACAGUAGGGGAACUUCACUGUAACAGUGAAGAAGCUCAUUGUAAUGUUUCUUAAAAUGUGACUAGUUUGUUUAAAUCAUUUCUUAUGUAUUUCUAAAGUGUUAAAUGUUGUCUUAUGUUUUUAGUAUGAUAUUUAAAUCAAAAUUCAUGAAAAACAUGUUAUUUACUAAAUUUCCCCUUUUCAUGGUUUUUGCAUGGCUUCCAUACUUAGUACAUCGAAUGUGUUAACCCCUUCUUUUACCUUUUGACUAAAGUGUAGGGAAUUGGAAGUCUUGAUGUACCAUGGAGGAUGGAUACGUUUCUAAGGGUUGAAUAUGAAUUAUUGGUGAGUUCUUAUUGAUUCGAGGACAAUAUCCAUAUGUUCCUUUUUCGUAAGUCCUUACUUUAUGUCUUGUAUGGUCUUAGUCCCAAGUGUUGUAAACUCCAAAGUUUAGAUGGUUCAAUGGGAUGUUGUAAAGACUUAAUGUAUUUAAACGGAAGUCUUCUUUUUAUGAUUAUGAAAAGAGUUCUUCGUGUGUGAAGAAAAUCUUAAAUUCUUACUCAUUUUAGAAUGUUUAUUAUGCAAUGAAUGAUACGAGUAGUUUAGAUGAGACUUCUUGAAGUCUCAUUUGCCGUGUGGCGACAAAAGGACGCUCUAACUUCUAGGGUGUACUUGAGGGUUGUUACAACCUUGGUAUCAGAGCAUAAGGUUUGAGAGUGUCUUAGUUGUCUCAUGAACCACAUCUAGUAGAGUCUUAUUUAUAAAGUGAAGCACGCCACAUUAUGAAUAGGAGGCUAUUGGGUGCUAGGAAAAGAUUCACUUCUUCAUUCAUCUAAUCGUUCCUAAGAGCUUUGUAUAUGGUAUCUUUCCCUUGUUUCCCUUAUCUAUUUGGUCAUUUGAGGGUGACUUAAUGAAGAUUGGGUUGAGGGAGAGAAAAUAUGAGACGUGACUUGUUAGAUGAGGUUUGAAAGAUGGUGUUGAUGGCCUUAGGUUGGUUUAGCUACUUUUUGAAAGGUAUUGUAGUUGGAAAGAAUGGUAAGGUAUAGAGUUAGAAAUGUGAAGGAGGGGUUGUUGAGAUGGGUUGAAGUUGUUUAAGACCUAACCAUAGAAACCAAGAUGAAGAGAUUAGAAAGUGUAAAGGUGAGUUUCUCCGAGUAAAGGGGAUUGAGUGGUUUUAAUGUGGUUUAGAGGCAGUGUAUAAAAGUUUAGGUGCAUUAGAAAUCAAACUUCAAGGGACGACCAAAACGUUCGACGACUAAGUCACCUAUGUGCCUCAUAUGUGGUUUUAUGUGUUUAUGUAUGAUUCAUGAGGUUAUGAAGUCCUUAAAUGAAUUAUUAUGGUGUAUAUAAGCAGUGUGUCAAGUUUCAUGAAGUUUGGAGGUCAAACGCUCAUGAACAUCCAUGACAUUUGAAAGACGUGCCUUGAAAUGACCUAGUUUGUCUAAGUAUGUUUCGUAGAGUUUUACGUGUUUGUUUUCGAUGAAACUCAUUUGGGAGGUCCUAAACCUUGUAUAUGAACAUAUUUGGGUUGGAAACGUCCGGGUACGACUCCAUGAAGGACCCAAAAGGGGCCCGAAAAAGAGGACCCCAACUUAGAGCACAACGCUGCCAGGCAGUGCCAAGCGAUGACCCAAACGACGACCAGGCGACCAGGCGUUGACCCGUCGAUGGGUCUCAUUGACUGAUAUUGUAAGGUGAAGGUUGAGGAGCAUCAGGAUCAAACUACGAGACCCCAUCGACGGGGCGUAGUCUCACACACAGACCGUUGAUGGUGGGCGUCGAUGGUGCUGUGAGUUGCUUCUAGUUUUUCUGUUAUGACUUGGGGGUUUUGGGAAAUUCACCCCAAGCCCUAUAAAAUAGGAGGAUGGUUGUUUUGAGUGUUAAUGCAAAUUUUAAGAGUAUAUAAGUUAUUAAACUCUCAUUUAAACCCUAACACUAAGAUCAAAACUCUUUCCCUCCUAAAGUUUCUUCAAAAACCUCCUUGAGAGUUCAAAGUGAAGAUGGACCUUGAAGAUGGGUCUUCAAUGGAGUUUCUUCUUCAAUUAGCAUUGGGUUAUUCUAAUAAGGUAUGUGAUUCAUAUAAGGCUUCCUAUCCCCUUAGAGCCAAUUUCAAAGAUGAUUUUCAAAGAUUUCAAAAAGAUGAAAAGUUCAAUUUCUACUCUAAGUCUUGGUUUCUUGCAUAAAAGGUUUUCAAACAUUAAUAUAUGAUGUUAUUUAUGUAUAAUUUAUGUUUUCUAAUGAAAUUCUCCAUGAACCCUUGACCUUCUCAAAUCUCUCAAUUUUGACAAAAAUGUGGGUUAUGUGACCAUGCUUUGAUAUUGAUGAAUUCAUGUGUAGAUUGUUAUGGUCUUUUGAUUGAUUUAUAGAUUAUGGUUGUAUGGUUUAUAGCUGUUAUAAGUUUAUCAACUGAUUAUUGAAUAUUCUUAGAUCUAUUAAAUGUUAAGCUUAUUGAAUUGAUAUUUAAUUAAUGCUUAUAAAUACUAGUGUAGUUUUCUAUAGAUUAUUCAAUGAUGUAAGAAUUGUAUUCAAUUGAUGUUUAGGUUGCAUCAGCUUAAUAAAUCUAUAUUGAAUUGGCCUAGAUUCACUGAGUAUUAUGGCUAUUGUGUUGAAUUGAUGCUCAUGGUCAUGGAUAAGAGCCUUAUGCUAUCGAAUUGGAUGAUUUAGCUUUAGAUUAAAGUGGUGAGAUUGAAUAGGUGGUAGGCUGCCCUAACUCUCUUAAUAUUAUGCAUAUCUUGUGUAUUAUAAUGUUGAUUGGUAUGGUCCACUUAUGGUGGCGAUGUUUAUGUGAAUUGAUGUGGUCUUGUGGGCGUUACUUUAUGAAUUUAUAUGAUCAUGGCUGGAACAACAUCAUAUCAAUACUUAGGAAAGUCAUAAUGAGCUUCUUGUCACCACCUUAAGACAGUCCCUAGAGGACAUCUUUGGUAAGGUAAAUGUAAUUGGGUUGUGAACUUGAUAUGUAACCCUCAUGUAUGAACCUAAAUGUGAAUUACUCAAUAAGAACAAAGCCUAGAACCGAGUGAGUAUGGUAAGGGAAGUAGCUCUAGUGAAGAACGAGACUAGAGUACAAAAUAAGCCCUUCAUAUUCCUUAACCAUGUGCCUUCAUGGGAUGUGUCCACGUUCUACCAUUAGUAGGUAGAAUAACCUCAUCGGAGUAGUAUAGAAUUCUUUAUUCCAUGUUUUGCUACCAUGGUCUAUGUCGGUUAUUGUCUAUUCUCAUUAUGUGGAAUACCCAUUAGUAUUAGAGAAGUUCUAUCAAGUUUAGGUGGUGGUAUGAAACGCUAUCUAGACAUUGCACAAUAGACUUUGAAGAUGUUAGUGAGAUUCCCCAAGUCUUCUCCAAGACCAUUACUUGAAUAUCCUAAUGUGAUGAAUGUCUCUCAAAUGAACUAAGGAAUGUAAUGACUUAAUAUAAGAAAGAAUGUUAAAUAAAAAAGUACUUAUCUAUAGUAGUUAAGGGUCGUCUAGUUAAGGUAUGAAGGGGGCAAAAGAAUGGUCACUUCAUCCCUUACCUGGAUAAGUCUUGAUAAUGAUUCUGGUUAAGGAAAUUGAUUGGUUAUGUAAACAUGAUCCCAACUUAGGUAAGUCUUAAGGAGUACUUAGGUAAUCUUGAAGAGGUCAAUUACAUUCUCUUCUUGAGUUACUUGAGUAGGUAUUUUGAUAACAUUUGGAAGGACAAUAUCAUAUUAUAUGAGUUCUAUGGUAUUAAGUGCGAAUGAUUCUAUCUUAGGUAAUUUAUAUGAUCUCUUGCGUGUGUGAAAGAGAUUAUAUGAGUGGUCGCUCCACAGUCACUCAAGUGAACCAUGUAAUCACCUUUGGAGAAUAUCAUGAUGAUGUUCUUGAUGUAUUGUAAGUGAAUGUAUCUAAUUCUAGGUAGUCUUGAAGAUCAUUUAGGCAUGCUUUGAGAGGGUAUAUGGGCGGUCUCUCUUUUUUGUUGCUUAAAUGAGUCUUAGGAUAGCUUUUAGUGAAGGGAUUAUAUGCAAAAAGGUGUGUAAAGUAAAGUUAAGGAACUUCACUGUACAGGGAGGGAACUUCACUGUAAUAGUGAAGAAGCUCAUUGUAAUUUUUCUUAAAAUGUGAUUAAUUGUUUAAAUGAUUUCUUAUGUAGUUUGUAAAGCGUCAAAUGUUGUUCUUAUGUUUUAUUGUAUGAUGUUUAAAUCAAAAUUCAUGAAAAGAAUGUUAUUUACUAAAUGUCCAUUUUUCAUUGUUUUUGUAUGGCUUCCAUACUUGGUAUAUCUAAUGUGUUAACCUCUUCUUUUACCUUUUGACUGAAGUGUAGGGAAUUGGAAGUCUUGAUGUGCCAUGGAGGAUAGAUAUAUUUUUAAGGGUUGAAGAUGAAGUAUUGGUAAGUCUUCAUCGAUUGGAGGACAAUAUCCAUAUGUUCCUUUAUGUCUUAAGUCUUUACUUUAUGUCUUGUAUGGGGUUAGUCCCAAGUGUUGUAAACUCUAAAGUUUAGAUGGUUCAAUGGGAUGUUGUAAAGGUUUAAUGUUUUUAAAUGAAAGUCUUCUGUUUGUGUAUUGGUUAAAAAAAGAGUUCUUUAUGUGUGAAGAAAGUUUUAAAUUUAUACUCAUUUUAGAAUGUUUAUUAUGUGAUGAAUGAUACGAAUGGCUUAGAUGAGACUUCUUGAAGUCUCAUUUGCCAUGUGGCAACACAAUGACGCUCUAACUUCUAGGGUGUACUUGAGGGUCGUUACAAACUGGUACCAGAACAUAAGUUUGGGAGUGUCUUAGUUGUCUCAUGAACCAAAUCUAGUAGAGUCUUAAUUAUAAUGUGAAGCGUGCCACAUUAUUAAUAUGAGGCUAGUGGAUGCUAGGAAAAGUUUCACUUCUUCAUUCAUCUAAUGGUGCCCAAGAGCUUGGUAUAUGGUAUCUUUCCCUUGUUUCCCUUAUGUGUUUGGUCAUUUGUGGGUGACUUUAUAAAGAUUGGGUUGAGGGAGAGAAAAGAUUAGAUGCAACUUGUUAGAUGAGGUGUGAAAUAUGGUGUUGAUGACCUUAGGUUAGUUUAGCUACUUUUUGAAAGAUAGUGUAGUUGGAAAGAAUCGUAAGUCAUAGAGUUCGAAAUGUGAAGGGGUUAUUGUUGAGAUGGGUUGAAGUUUUUUAAGACCUAUCCAUAGAAAGGAAGUUGAAGAUAUUAGAAAGAGUAAAGGUGAGUUUCUCCGAGUAAAGGGGAUGUAGUGGUUAUAUGGUUGAACCUUGAGAGUCUGUAGUUCUCAUGAGCUAGACUUUGGGUGAGAAAGUAUUAGCAAGGUUUAAGGUGCCUUGAGGAAGUUCCUUGUGAUAGCUGUUAUGUUGACCUUUGAAUUGGUUUCUCCUAAGUGGGGGAAGUAUGGUGUAGAGUAUGGUUAUUAGGAUUGAGGCACCCUUAAAUUUUCUUCAUUUAUUUAUUCAAGCCUAAAGUAAAAGUUCUUUGAAACUUGAUUGUGUAGGAGUCUUUUGUGAAAAAUGAAUUCCAAACAUUCUCCUUAUGAUACGCAUGGUUGGUUGAAAUUGAUUUUCAUUAAAUUCUUGCAUUAUGUAUUCCAUGAAGCCAUGAUCUUGUUGUAAAAGAUGUUUAUAUGAUGUUACCUUGCAUAUUAGCAUGUCUAUAUCAUGAAUUGCCUAAAAGUUGCAUUUUUGAAAAUUUGCUCAAUUCACUGUAAUGCACUACUGCCAGUUUCACUAUGAUAUUUUUGGAAAUUUGACUAAUUAAUUAUUUGGUCUAAAUUUUUUUCAUGUAGUUAUAACUGAUGUGUAUAAAUAUGAUAAUGAUUAUAAAAUGAGUUUUUACUAUUUAGAAUGAGGUAUGUGAGUUUUAUAGCAUGAUGAGUUAUGAAUUCUAAUCUAGUUUCUUGUUGUGUUGUGAAUCUCUUGAUCUUGUGAAAUUAAGGUUUUCUUCUUGAUUCUGUGUUAUAUGGUAUUUUCAUGAGUUUUUAAGUUGAAUAUCUUCUCUUGGAAAGGUUCGAAGAGUGGCAACUGUCAUUCCAGGACGAAUGUUGUCCAGGUGGGGGAGAAUGUAAGACCCCAAAAAUUACUUAGGUGAAUCUAGAGCCUAAAGUGUUUGUCAUGAUGGUAUAUGUUCCUAAAAUGGUCUAUAAUGUGGUUUAGAGGCAGUGUCUAAGAUUUAAGGUGCAUUGGAAGUCAAACGUCAAGGGAUAGUCAAGACGUUCGACAACUAAGUUAUAUAUGUGCCUCAUAUGUUGUUUUAUGUGUUUAUGUGUUAUUCAUGAUGUUAUGAAGUCAUUAAAUAAUUUAUUAUGGUAUAUAUAGGCAGUGUGUCAAGUUUCGUGAAGUUUGGAGGUCAAACGCUCAAGAACAUCCAUGAUGUUCGAAAGAUGUACCUUGAAAUGACCUUGUGUGUCUAAGCAUGUUUGGUAGAGUUUUACGUGUUUGUUUUGGAUGAAACUCAUUUGGGAGGUCCUAACUCGUAUACGAACAUAUUUGGGUUGACAACGUACGGGUACGACUCUAUGUAGGACCCACAUGGGGCCCUAUAAGGAGGAUCAAACUUAGAGCUCAACGCUGCCAUGCAGUGCCAAACAACGGCCAGGCGACCAGGCGUUGACCCGUCAAUGGGUCUCAUUGAUUGAGAUUGUAAGGUGAAGGUUGAGGAGCAUCAGGAUCAAACUACGAGACCCCAUCGACGGGGCAUAGUCUCACACAUGGACCGUUGAUGGUGGGCGUCGAUGGUGCUGUGAGUUGAUUCUAGUUUUUCUUGUUUUUGACUUGAGCGUUUUGGGAAAUUCACCCCAAGUCUUAUAAAAUAGGAGGACGGUUGUUUUUUGAGUGUUAGUGGGUAUUUUAAGAGUAUAUAAGUCAUUAAACUCUCAUUUAAAAUUCUAACACUAAGAUCAUAACCCUUUCCCUCCUAAAGUGUCUUCAAAAACCUUCUUGAGAGAUCAAAGUGAAGAUGGACCUUGAAGAUGGGUCUUCAAUGGAGUUUCUUCUUCAAUUAGCAUUCGUUUCUUCUAAUAAGGUAUGGGAUUUCUUCAUCUAAGGCUGGUUAUCACAUUAGAGCCAAUUUCAAAGAUUUCAAAAAGAUGAAAAGUUUAAUUUCUACUCUAAGUCUUGGUUUCGUGCAUAAAAGGUUUUCAAACAUUAAGAUAUGAUGUUAUUGAUUUAUAAUUGAUAUUUUCUAAUGAAAUUCUCCAUAAAUCCUUGACCUUUUCAAAUCUCUCAAUUUGGACAAAAUUAUGGGUUAUGUACCCAUGUUUUGAUAUUGAUGAAUUCAUGUGUAGAUUGUUAUGGGCUUUUGAUUCAUGUAUAGAUUAUAUUUUUAUGGUUUAUAGGUUGUUCCAAUUAGAUCAAUUGAGUAUUGAAUAUUCUUAGACCUAUUGAAUGUUAAGCUUAUUGAAUUGUUAUUGACUUAAUGCUUAUAGAUUCUAGUGUAGUUUUCUUUGGGUUAUUGAAUGAUGUAAGAAUUGUAUUCAAUUGAUGUUUAGGUUGCAUUAGAUUAAUAAAUCAAUAUUGAAUUGGCCUAGAUUCACUGAGUAUUAUGGUUAUUGUGUUGAAUUGAUGCUUAUGGCCAUGGGUAAGGAUCUUAUGGUAUCGAAUUGGAUGAUUUAUCUUUGGAUUGAGUCUAUAAUGGUUAUAUUGGUGAUGAUAUAGUAGUGUAUAGAAUGAAUUAAAAAUGGUAAUGGUGAUUCCUAUGUGCUUCUAGAAUGACAUGUAAUAUGUGCUAAAGUGAUAUAUGUUUUGUCUUGUCUUGGUAGAAUUGUGUUCCAUACUUGAUACAUGUAUGAAUAUGAGUAUGUGAUGUAUUAACUUAGGAUUCUAAAGCCCCUUAGUCUUGAAUGUAUGAAUCUUAUGUGAAACCUUGAACCUAGUGGUAAGAUUAUGAAACUUGAAGUCAAAAGACAUAAUGGUAUACUUCAUGCAAUGAAUGAUGGACUUAAGAUUUAUUGGCUGAAAUGACAUCAUAUCAAUACUUAGUAAAGUCACAAUGAGCUUCUUGUUACCAUUUAAAGGCAGCCCUUAGAGGACCUCUUUGGUAAGGUAAAUGUAAUUGGGUUGUGAACUUGACAUGGAACUCUUUUGUAUGAACCUUAAUGUUAAUUACUCAAUAAAAACAAAGGCUAGCACCGAGUGAGUAUGGUAAGGGAAGUAGCUCUAAUGAAGAACGAUACUAGAGUACAAAAUAAGCCCUUCAUAUUCCUUAACCAUGUGCCUACAUGGGAUGUGUCCACGUUCUACCAUUAGUAGGUAGAACAACCUCAUCGAAGUAGUAUAGAAUUCCGUAUUCCUUGUUUUGCUACCAUGGUCUAUGUCGGUUAUUGUCUAUUCUCAUUAUGUGGGAUACCCAUUAGCAUUAGAGAAGUUCUAUCAAGUUUAGGUGGUGGUAUGAAACACUAUCUAGACAUUGCACAAUCGACUUUGAAGAUUUUAGUGAGGCUCCCUAGUUAUUAUCCAAGACCAUUACUUGAAUUUCCUUAUGUGAUGAAUGUACCUCAAAUGAACUAAGGAAUGUAAUGACUUAAGCUAAUAAAGUAUGUUAAACAAAUAAGUACUUAUCUAGAGUAGUUAACGGUUGUAUAGUUGAGGUAUGAAGGGGGCAAAGGAAUGGUCACUUCAUCCCUUACUUGGAUAAGUGUUGAUAAUGAUUCUAGUUAAGGAAAUUGAUUGGUUAUGUAGACAUGAUCCCAACUUAGGUAAUCUUGAAGAGGUCAAUAAUGGACAUUCUAUUCUUGAGUUACUUGAGUAGGUCUUUUGAUAACCCUUGGAAGGAUAAUGUCAUAUUCAAUGAGUUCUAUGGUAUUAAGUGAGAAUGAUUCUAUCUUAGGUAAUUCAUAGGAUCCCUUGUGUGUUUGUGAAAGAGAUUGUAUGGGCGGUCGCUCCACACUCACUCAAGUGAACCUUGUAAUCACCUUUGGUAGGAGAACCUCAUGCUGAUGUGCUUGAUGUAUUGUAAGUGAAUAUAUCUCAUUCUAGGUAGUCUUGAAGAUCAUUUAGGCAUGCUUUGAGAGGGUGUAUGGGAGGUCUCUCUUUAUGUUGCUUAAGUGAGUCUUAGGAUAGAUUUUAGUGAGGGGAUUUUAUGCAAAAAUGUGUGUAAAGUGAAGUUAAGGAACUUCACUGUACAGUGAGGGAACUUCACUGUAACAGUGAAGUAGCUCACUGUAAUGUUUCUUAAAUGUGAGUAAGUUUAAAUGAUUUCGUAUGUAUUUCUAAAGUGUUCAAUGUUAAAUUAUGUUUAUAGUAUGAUGCUUGAAUCAAAAUUCAUGAAAAAAUAUGUUAUUUACCCAUGUCCCUUUUUCAUGGUUUUUGCAUGGCUUCCAUACUUAGUACGUCUAAUGUGCUAAACCCUUCUUUUACCUUUUGACUAAAGUGUAGGAAAUUUGAAGUCUUGAUGUGUCAUGGAGGAUAGAUAGGUUUUUAAGGGUUGAAGAUGAAGUAUUGGUGAGUCCUCAUCGAUUCGAGGACAAUAUCCAUAUGUUCUUUUAUGCCUUAAGUCUUUACUUUAUGUCUUGUAUGGGCUUAGUCCCAAGUGUUGUAAACUUCAAAGUUUAGAUGGUUCAAUGGGAUGUUGUAAAGGUUUAAUGUUUUUAAAUGAAAGUCUUCCGUUUGCGUAUUGAUUAUGAAAAGAAUUCUUUGUGUGUGAAGAAAGUUUUAAAUUCUUACUUAUUUUAGAAUGUUUAUUAUGCAAUGAAUGAUACGAAUGACUUAGAUGAGACUUCUUGAAGUCUCAUUUGCCGUGUUGCAACACAAGGACGCUCUAACUUCUGGGGUGUAUUUGAGGGUCGUUACAUAAUUCUUUAGGAAACACAUAAUUACUUACAUUAAAACUUAUACAUAUUUAAUUAUUUUCAUUUCUUUCUUCGUAAAUAUUUAUUUACAUCCUCACUUUAACUUUUUUAUGUUUAGAUUUUUAUCUUUCCAUUUUUAAUUAUUUUUUUAAAAAAUUACCUGUAUUUCAUAAAAAUCAAAUAUUUUUCUUAAAUAUUUUCCUUUAACUUUUAUGUUUUAGUUAAUUUUCUUCACUUACUUUGAUGAUAUCUAUCCAAAAUUAACUUUUUUAAGUAUAAGAGAUUUGAAAUAAAAUUUGAAAUCAAUCAAAAGAAAAAACAAAUCUAUCUAUCUGUAUAUAUUAAUAGGAGAAGAAGAAUCUCUACAUGUCAACGCCACACAUUUUUUAAAAUUUAAAUUAUAAAUUAUUAAAUAUUAUAGAAUUAAUUAAAUAUGUUAAAUUCAAAAUUCAAAAUAAAAAUGGGCACAUAAUCACAUAUCAUCAACUUACACAAGUAAUAACAAAUGACAGCAUUUAAAAAAAUUAAAAUUUGAUUAUUUGUGGAUAGAAAGGUAAAAAUUGAAAUAUAGAAAAAGAAAAUAAAAUACUCCCUCUAUUUUGAAAAGAAUGGCCAUAUUUCCUUUUUAAUUUAUUUAAAAAAGAAUGACCUCUUUCCUUUUUUGACAACACUUUAACUUUAACUUUCCACGUGACAUGUUUAAGAGUACAAGAUUAAAGAGCAUUUUGGUAUAUUUGACAUAACUUUAAUUUAGAACCACAAGAUUAAAAAAUCUUCUUUGUUUUCUCAAACUUCGUUCCAAGUCAAACUAAAUCAUUCUUUUUGAAACGGAGGAAGUAGAUGUUAUUUGUAUAACUAAAAAUCUCAAUCAGAAUUAUCUUAGCAUGACAAUUUUAAGUUGUUAUGGAUUUUUUUCAACCACAAAAAAAUGAAUCAAUUUGCGUAAUGUGCUGAAAACAUGACAAAAUCUCUAUGAAAAUAUUAUAACAAUUACAUGCAAAUAUGCAGCAGGAAAGGUUGUAGAUAGAGAUUUUUCUGCUGAUCAAAAUAAAAUACAAAGGGAUAAUACACAAGUAUCCUUUCAACCUAUUUCCAAAAUCUCAGAGACACUCUUAUACUAUACUAAGAUUCUAUUCCCCCCUCCCCUCCCCCGAAGGAAAUUACUUAUAAAAUAAGUUUAGGGGGUAAUAGGAACUUAGUAUAGUAUAAGUGUGUCUCUGGGAUUUCGAGCAUAGGUUGAGGGGUACUUGUUCAUUUUCCCAAAUACAAAUGAUAUUGCACUCUUUCUUACUGAAAGAUCUAGGAAAUUAAAGGCUCCAUUGACAUAAACUCUCCACGUCUCUUCUAUGCAAUUACGAAAACAUCAUUAUUCAUUUUUUCUACAAAAUAUCCUACAACUUCAUUAAAUGAAAAGGCAAAUAUAGAAAAAAUUUCUGACAUCCAUCUUGAAUUUUAAAACCAUAGAAAAAGUCUAAAAAAAUUCACUAAAUAUAGAAUAAAUGAAGCAUUUUACUUUCUCGUUUUUAGUUAUUUGUUCAUAUUGACAAUCAAGAAAUAUCCUUAAUUAAUUGCUUUUUUGAAAAAGGUAUAACUUUUUGAAAAUCUUAAGUUUUAAUUCGUUCAGGGCAUAAUUAUAAAGACACUCACUAUGUCAAUCAUUAUUUUUAGACAAAUAUGUUAAUUCGGAAGUGAACAAGUAAUAAGGGACAUAGGGAGUACAACAUGAUAUGAAAAUAUAUAUUAUACAUAGUGUGUCAAUUUAGUAUAGAAAUGUAUAACAUAAAAGACGGUUUAUACACAUAUAUGGACUAAAUGAGUACAAAUAUUUUCUUCCCGUAGACAUAAAACGUAAUUUCCUCUUAAUCCUUAUAGAGAACAUGAUUAAUUCGUGUGAAAUGCUACGAAAAAAAUAAUAAUAAUUUUUCCUAUUAAAAGAAUUGAUACAAGAGUUGAGUAAUUUGAUAGAAUAAAAAUAUGAUUAAGCAAGUAUAAUCGUAUAAUAAACCUAAACCUUAUAUAGUCACAUAAAUGCUAGAUUAUUUGGUAUUAAAUUCUGUUAUUAUGUAUUAUUAUUAUUGUUAUUAUCUCCUUUUUAUGAAUCAAAACUAAUACUCCAAGUGAGACAUAUUACGCCAAAGAAGAUAUAUAAAACCUACCGCCGCCGCCGUCUGUUUCUAGGUGGCUAUGACCACCAACUGACCUGAGCAUCCCCUUUUGGGAUAGGAAAAGCUGCCGCAAAGAGUGAUCCGGAGCAAAGAAGGAAAUAUGUUGUUGUCUUGUGUCCCCUGACACGAAUAGCCAAACCGAUUCCGAUGAAACCUAUCCCAUAUUUACAUGGGGAACCUAGAAUCAUGUGGGAGGAUGAAGUGGAGCAAAUGAUCGUGAAGGCGAAUUUUAGGCAAAUUUUUGUAUGGAUGGCCAGAGAUUUAGGAACUAUGUAAAUUGAAUUCGAAACAUUGCCAAUCGAGGGCGAAUGCAAAAUAAGUUACUUAGCAAUAGACAUGUGCUCAUUAGGGAUUUAUGUUUGGAAGAGUAUGUCUAUCUACUAUCCAAACCUACUUUUUAUUUAUUACAUCGGGGAUGGUCUUAUCCAAUGAGAACUCAGAAAUGGAAUCUGAUGUUUGAUCCGGGAAAAUAGACUUCAAGGGCAAUUACUUGGAUAUCCUUUCCAUCAUUACCAACAAAUUUUUUUGUUAAGGAGGUUGUUUUCUCACUGGCAGCUGUUGUUGUUAACCUUUACAAGUGGAUCUAGCUACAAAGAAUCAAACUAGACCUAGUUAUGCAAGGGUUAAAGUGGAGGUGGACCUUUUAAGUGAGAAAACAUUAUGGCGAAAUCGUGGAGAAAUGGAUUCGUAUUAAAUAUGAAUGAGUAAAAAUAUUAUAAGAAUCGCAGUAUUCAGGGACAUAUGAGCAAGAAUUUUAUGUGAUCCAUCUAGAGUUAUAUCCAACAAGGGAAGGGAGUGGAGCUGACGAUGUUAUUAAAGAGAAGGUCGACGGAUAAAAUAAGAGAAGGGAUGAUCAUCAUGUGGAAAGAAGGGAACCAGAACAAAGCAAAGGGAAAGAUGAAUUCAAGGAACAGAAUAGUAAAAUAGUGGGAUGAGAUAGGAAAGUUGGGCAGCUGCAGGUUUGGAAUCGAAAACACCUUCAACAGGAGAAAAAGUAAGAGAUCAUGGGAAACAAAUUUGAUGCAUUGGGCAGUCUGAAUGAUGAAGGGGCUGACAAGCCUACACAAGGGAAUGGAGCUAGGGACAAUAAUAUAGGGAACGACAUUGGAUCAACAAAAAAAUGGGUAGAGGAAUUUUUCAAUGGAAAAUAGAUGAUAGGCGGAGAGUUGUAGCAACUAAAAAGUGGCGAAUAAGGAGGGAUUGAGAACAGCAGACAAAAGAAAUGAUAUAGUAGAGUGUGUUUGGUAUGAAGGAAAACAUAUGUUUUCCAAUUUUCAAUGUUUGGUCGGGACAAAUUUUUGGAAAAUGUUUUUCAAAUCAACUCAUUUUGUUCUAAAUUUAAGGAAAAUGGCUUCCAUUCAAAACUCUCUUCAAUUUCAAAUUACAUUUUUUUUGGGCAAAAACAUCAAUGUUACAAUUUCAAAAUUUUAUUUUUUCACCCAAUCCUUGACCCCGGCCAGCCCCCUCCCCAACCCCUUCCUAAAAAUUAAUUUUGCUUUUUAAAAAUAUUUUCAACUUCAAAUUUUUAUUUUUAAACUCCUAACCCCCUCCCCCACCCCGACCCCUCAAAAAAAUUAAUUUUGUUUUUUGAAAAUACUAUCAACUAAAAUUUUUUAUUUUUUCACUCCUCCCGUGCCCCCACCCCAAAAAAACAAUAAUUUUGAUUUUAAAAAAUGUUUUCAAUUUCAUAAAUUAUUUUUUACUCUAGUAAAUAUAAAAGAUGUCUCAAAAUUAAAAAAUGUUUUCAAUGUCUCUGAAAAAUAUUUUUGGUUCAUAAAUCAAACACUAAAAUCAUUUCUGAAAAAUAUUUUUUACUCACCAACCAAACAUGAGAAAAUAAGUCCAAAAUCUACUUGUUUUUCAGGAAAAAUUUUUCUAGGAAAACAUUUUCCUCCAUACCAAACACACCCGUAGCGUUAGAUACUUUUCAGACAGUUGAUAAGGAUGAUACGGAGAAAGAAUAUGAGGGUAGUAAGGUGGGGAAUAUAGGGGGAGGAUCGAAAGAGAAGGUGUGUCAAGGCAGUUCAAAUUUCGAUGAAGAUGGAGUCGAUGAGUUGCAAGACCUUGUUGAGAAUGAAAAACGACGUCGAAGAGAUACAGAGGAGGAUGGAGAGGUAAUUGAGAAUAUUGAUACAAUAGCAAGAGAUGGUGAUCUCUCGCCAAGACAAAUAAAUAAUUUGAAGAAUGGAGUUUAAAAAAACAUAUCUUCCUCUUCAAGUUAAAACAAUGAGCAAUAAGGAUAAUUUUGGGGAAGUUUCUCAAUGAUUAGGAAAGCUUUAUUUUGAAAUAUCAGGUCGGUUAGGUCUCAAAAGGCCUUCGAUAGACUCAUAGAUAUAAAUAGGAGACAUAAUUAUAUAUAUAUAGCUACUGGAACCUUUUCAAGGACCACGUGAGUUAGAACAAUAUAAAAGGAGAUUGUUCAUCGGAGGUGGUAAGAGAUAACAUCAGCAGGAAAUAAUCAGAUUCCAUGACUAGUAGGUGGGUAUUUUGAUGUUAUUUUAAAUGAAGAGAAGAAGCAAGGGGGAAGAGAAUUAACGUCCUAUGCGGCGAUCGAUUUAAAUCAUUGUAUUAAUAAAUGUGCAUUAUUAGUGGUUAAAUCUCCUGGGAGUAAAUUCACGUGGUCGAAUGGUAGAAUAGCGGGAAAAUGUAUUUUAAAAAAGUUAUAUAGAGGGUUCUGUAAUCAAGAAUUUGAGCAGAUUCUUCCUACUAGCAAAGUGCAUCAUUUAAUACGACAAAAAUAUAUCAUGUGCCUUUGUAUUUUAUUUGUAAUUUUGAGGAGGAGUCUACAAUUACCGGUUAAGUUUCUUAAUUUUUGGACAAAAACAUUCAAAAUUUAGAAAAGUGGUAGAGGAGAAUUGGAAGGUGGAUUUUAAAGGUUCGUCGUUUUUUGGAAUUUCAAAGAAAGAUCAAAAAGAUUAAGCAGGCUUUGUCGCGUUGGAGUAAAGAGAAUUUUGGGAACAUAUUUAAUAAAGUGCAUACGUUGGAGUAGGAAAUAAGAAUAAAAGAGAUGCAAUUGGAGAUUAAUACUUCACCUGGAAAUAGACAGGAACUAAGCAGAACAAAAGUAGACUUGAGAAAAUAUAGAUACAUGGAGGAUGAAUUUUAAAGAGAUAAAUCAGGGAUGAGAUGGUUUAAGGAUGGAGAUGGAAAUACAAAAAAAAAUCACAAUUAUGUGAAAGAACGGAGGAAGAGAUUAUUCAUCUCUGAAAUAGAUAUGACUCAAGAGGGUAAUGUGACUGGUAAUGAGAAUAUAGGAGCGGAGGCGGUGUUAAUUUUUUAAGACCAAUUUAAGAAAACAAUUACAAGUGAUGAUGAUAGCAUGCUUAAUUUGAUCCUAAUAAUUAUCACUUCGGAGCAAAAUGAAGAGAUGACAAUAUUGCCUAAUAAGGAUGAGGUUAAAAAGGUGGUUUUUGCGUUAAAUGGGGAUAGCAUAAGUGGUUCAGAUGGUUUUUCAGGGUAAUUUUUUCAGAUCUGCUGGAAAAUAGUUGGAGAGGAUAUUACAUGAAUGAUGCGAGCUUUCUUUUUCGGGCAUCAAUUUCCUAGAUUUAUCACUCACACAAAUGUUGUGUUGCUGCCAACAAAGGAGAAGACCAUAAAUUUUUCUGACUUGAAACCAGUAAGUCUAAGUACCUUUGCUAACAAAGUUAUUUCGAGACUGCUCCAUCAAAGAAUAACAAAAUUACUACCAAUUCUCAUAUCUAGAUAUCAAUUUGGUUUUGCGAAGGGUAGGAGUCAGGAGAUAUUAAGGGACAUAAAUAUAAGAAAGAAUUUUCAGAAUGAGGUGGUGAAGCUUGACAUGGCUAAAACAUAUAAUAGAGUGUCAUGAUUUUGUUUGACCAAAGUGUUGAGAAGAUUAGGUUUUUCAAAACUGAUUAUUGACAUGGUAUGGAGGCUGAUUUUUAAUAAUUAUUAUUCAAUUUUUGUGAACGGACGGACAACCAUAUGGUUUCUUUCACUCUUCAAGAGGAUUGAGACAAGGAAAUCCUCUAUUCACAACUUUGUUUAUCAUUGGGGCAGAGGUCUUAGUGAGGGGCUUAAAUAAACUCCAUGAACAUAAGGAGGUUAAAGGAUAUGGUAUGCCUAAAUGGAGCCCUCUCAUAAACUAUUUAUCUUAUGUCGAUGAUACCAUACCUUUCUGUUUGGGGAAAAGGGGUCUAUUAAGAAGAUGAUGGGAAUUCUAAAAAGGAUUAAGAGCUUUAUUGACCUUCAUUAUAAUACACUUUAAUAGUCUCUAUGCGAUUAAGAAGAAUUACAGGGAUCAGAUAAAGAAACUUUCCCUUCAUAUACCUGGGGUACCCAGUGUUCUAUGGUAGAAAAGAAAUGUGUACUGAGGAAUUAUUGAUGAACUUACAAAAGAGAAUAUUAUCCUAGCAAAAUAAGUGGUUAUCAUACGGGGGGAUUAAUUCUCAUUACAAGUAUAUUACAAUCUAUGCAAUUGUACCUUCUUUCAGCAAUGAACCCCACAAAAAGAAUCAUGAGUAACUUACAUCAUAUGUUUGCCAGCUUUUUCUAGAGUAAAGUAGGAGGAACUAGAGGAAAAUAUUGUGUAGCUUGGGAUGUUAUCCAAACGAAGAAGGCGGAAUAGGAGUGAGAUCAUUAUAUGAUGUAUCAAAGGCACUGUACACUAAACUACGGUGGAAUUUUAAAACUGUUACUUCUCUAUGGGGUACUUAUAUGUGGACAAGUAUUGUAAAAAAUAACAUUCGGUAUUAGCCACGAGUACAUGAGUUUAUCAUGCAUGGAAGAAAAUGGUAGAGGUAAGGGAAGAAGUCGAACAUAAUAUUUGGUCGAAACUCAAAUCUGGAGAAAUAAGUUUUUGGUUUGAUAACUGGACAUAGCAAGGGGCUUUAUAUUUUAUAGAGGACUAUGGUGGAGAGGAGGAAGAGAGAGAGGUGACAAGAUCCAUUACAAAUGGAGAAUGAGAUGUUCAAAAGCUAAGACAAAUAGUAUCGGAAGAGAUGAUAUUAUACACCACGAGAUGUGUUACCCCUCGUCUAUCGGAGGAGGGGAUAAAUCUUGGUGGAUGGAAAGUACAAGUGGGGAAUUCACAAUCAAAUCAGCAUUUGAUAUGUUGCGAUGUAGAAGGGAGAAGGAGGAAUAGGGGACGAAUAUGUAGGACAAACAGAUCCUUUUAACCUUAGUUUUUUACUAUAGAGAAUUUGAAAGGGAAGGAUUGUAGCGAAGGAAAAUCUUAAAAGGAUGGGGGUUACUAAGCAUCGAGAUGCUAUUGUUGUGAAGAGUUUGAGAAGGAAACUACACAACAUUUAUUUCUAACAGCUCCCAUAGCUCAAAAGCUAUGGAAGCAGUUUGCUUCAUAUGUAGGUAUUCAUCAAUAUGGGUGUGAUGCCCGAGCUAUCCCCGAGACGCGGACACGGAACCUAAGACCACAAAUGAUCACAAGCUAACCCUGCUGACAUGAUCAUGAGCAUACUAAAGAAUAUAAACUGUUGCGAAAAAUAAAUCAUAAUUUAAACUCAAAAGAUGGGGAAUACCCAUAUUCUACAACUGAGAUAUUUGAAAACAAUGAGUUAAAUACAAAGAAAUAUUAACUCAAUACUAAGCUGAAACUAACUAUGUCUGAAAAUAGCCUCUAAACUGGACUAGAAAUACUGGGACAAGCCAGCUAAGUCUAGCAAAAACUGAAAGUAAAAGACUAAAUACUGAAAAGAAACUCAUGAUUAUUGUCCUCGGAGAAUGAGGACUCACCACUAAAUCUGCUGAACUGAAGAUCGGAAAAUCGAUCUAUGCAUGAUCUGGAUGUUGAGAACCUGAACUUACAUCACGAGAAGAUGUAGUGCACGUAUGUCUCAGUAGUUGAAAGGUACUGAGCAUGUAGGAUAGAAUAAAGAAACAUAACUGAACAAGCCAAAAACAAGUAUAGUAAUAUGAACAUGAUAUACUGAACUAUGAGCUAACUAAAUGCAAUGACCAAUUUAUAACAUCUAAAAUUAAAUGUUGGAUAUACUUAUAAAUGGUCAAUGCAAGACAGUCUGAUUGAACUGUCGGAGCUACUAAUAACUAAUAAUAAAACCACAUGAUCUAAAUGUGGAGUCCGAUGUAUAUGCCACAUCGAGAUGACCCAAUAUACCCUGCCACAGGUAUAAAAGCAUGCUGGCGUGAUCACUAAACUGAUUGCCCACAGAGUGGACUUACAACCUACUUGGGUAGUAGUUCUGGAACUAAUUGGGUACGAUGAACACUAGUCCAACUCGGUAUUAUGCUACUUCAAUUGAUUAAUGUAGUUAAUUUAUUAUGACUGAGUUUCUGUAAAUACUGGAUAGCUCAAAACUAAACAUGCAAAUUGAGAAUGCAACAAUUAUUCUGGUAAUUAUGCAUUUCUAAUUGAGGCAUGUAUAUCUUAAAUAACUGAAAUAUUAUACCUACCAUGUGUAAUUCAAGAACUAAAGAUAUACAUAGCUAGGGUUCUAAAAUUCAUGCGAUAAUAACAUGGAAAUAUAAUUUGAAACAUAUAACUAAAUAAUUCAUGAAGUUUUGGUGAAGUUCUAUAAACCCUAGGUCUAAUUAUGAUAUGGGAAUCAAGAAUAUGAGUGAAAACUAGGGAUCUAAUGGGUGAAAGGAACCCACUAGUGAAAUCUCACAUAUCUGGUGAUGAAAUUCACGGAAAAACACUUAGGUUUCAGGGUUGGAACAGCUUGAAACUUGUUGCAUUCUUGAACUAGGGUUCUUGAGUUUUUUCUCCUCUCUUGCUUCUAAUUUUCUGACUUUUGAUUUAUGAUUUUGGCUUAGGUAAGUUUUUGUUAUGUUUCUAGGCUUAAACUGACUAAAAUCUGAUGAUGUAGGGUAAAAAUGAUGUAUCUUAGAGUUUAAACAAAGUGGAAAAACACCAAAAGACCCCUGGGUAAGUUGCUGUCGGACCAAACAACGACCAGGAUUGACGGUCUGUCGUUUUGUCCGUACGUUGGUUCUGUUCGACAAUCCUUUACUAAAACGGACAUAAAUUUUUACUCAGAGGUCUGAUUUUAGCAAGGUCGGUGGCUAUAAAAAGGUAAUUCAAUUAUCUAUUUGUGGGUAGGUCAUGAGACACCUAAUUAAUUUGGUACUAAGAGUUCUGACCAUUUGAAGUUGACCCAACUGCACUUCCCCCUUAACUGCUCUACCUACGGACAGUUUUGGUCAUCCGCGGCUCUUGUCAGAGAGUGGGUGAAUGGGGUCUCAAUCGACAGUCAUAGACUACGGACCGUCGUCUGACUAACGUACCGUAGGUUCGUCCAUCGACCAAGAUUAACCAAUUUUCCUAGGCUGAGAUUUUUGGGAUUUUCUGACCCAUCAACGAAUGUGCAGGACAUAUCGUGGGUCAGGCUACGGUCCAUCGAUGCCAUCGUUGGUUGCGCCUGUAAAUUUCUCUAAAAAGCUAUUUUUUGGUCUGUUUUUGAUACGGGGUGUUACAAUGGGUGUUUGAAACAAAUGAUAACAGGAUGGUGGGAAGCUAACAGUUCUAUCAAACUGAAAUUCAUUUUUCAAGAAAUACGAAGCAUUAUACUAUGGGAAUUUGUAGAAUGGAGAAACCCACGGCGGUCAAAAAAGCGUGUUUUCUUCAGAUAAGACGCACCGUAGGCCAUCCUCGGCCUUCUUUGUUUUCGAUGAAAAAAAAAAUCUAGCAAGACGACAUGGAUUAGAUAUAUUUUUUUAUAAGUUGAAGACUCAGUGUGUAAACACUAUACAACUGAUAAACAUGAAAUAUCCAUGGAUUAAAGUUCCUAAAAAUUUGGGAAAGAUGGUCAAAAUACUUAAGGAGUACAAACCCAGAUUGCAUUACUGUGCGGUGGAGCUGGAGGAAACCUCAUAAUGGUACAAUAAAAUUCAACACGGAUGGAGCUAGUAGAGGGAAUCCUGGAGAAAGUGCCUAUGCAUUUUGCUUAAGGAACGAUAAAGGAGGCGGGGCAAUUGGGAAAUAGAACAGUUGACAUCCAAUUCUGACCCUCUCCGGUAGGAAUUAAUUCACGAGCUUUUUAAUUUCUAAACAAUUUAGAAUAACUAGUUUUAUAAAAUUCAAAUACUUUCCAAAGUCAUUUCAACUAAUCUUAGUCGAUUUGUUUCGCAUCGUGUGAUCGUCUUGCCGUAAUUGUCAUGCCUGAUAUGUCUUAACUUUGUCUUAGUUCUAAUUUGAAAAUGCUUGUGUGCAAACAUCCAUUUUGAUCAUAUUUUACCUCUAGAUCAGUGUUAGUUCACAUUCAUAUGACUCGUUCGUCUUCAGGUCAUUUUGUAGUAUGAUAUCAUUAGACUCGUUUAGGGUUUGGUGAUUAGAUGUUCUCGUAACUCAUAUAUUCAUCCUAGAUAGUCUAAUAUUUUGCCAUGAAUUCGAAGAGUUUGUUGCUAACUAAUAUAUCUUCGUACGAUUGAUCAUUGUUCUAUUGCAUUUGCUUAAAUUUGUUCCACGCCUUCUUGAUUUGAAAUGGUCUAAUAUAUAUCUAUUCAACAAGGUAUUAGUUUAGCAUGAGAGUUCUUUAGGUAGUGUCUAUGUUUGUCCCCUCUUACAUCGUCUAGUUGAUAGUACUUGUUUGGGUUCACUGUGUUUUUAUUUUCGGAUCUCCUAUCGCGUUUAUGUACCGGUUUUUGUGUCAACUAUUAUGAGAAGCAUGCUUUUUGCUCCGUCUGCUCUUUGUUAAUCAUGUUGUUAAUAUGUACUUGGUCUUGUGAUACCUUUUCUACCUAAUUUUGGUCUGAGUAUAAAGGGGUUCAUAAAUGAAAAUAGUUACCAAUUUUUUUUGCUAUCUAGGAAAGGAUUUCAAAUAGGUACACUUGAGAUAAAUGUUUAAUAGGAAUAUUUAGUUGAUGACUUAAUUGCUCACUGUUUUCUUAUUAAAUGUCUUCGUUUGGAACUUUUAUUUUGCUCUUAAGGAAAAUGUGCAUGUUUGGUCAACCGUGCCAUGACUGCCAUGUUGUCUAUACAUACAUAUGUGCCUUAUUUGGGAAUCUCUUUGCUUUGGUUUUGCAAGUGUUUGAAUAAUUUUUAGCUUAUCCUUAUAUGUUUUCGAUCUCUCGUUAAUUUGUUUAUUUUGUUCCAUAUCAUUUUCCUCUAGCUAAUGUUUUGCCUUUCUUUUAUGGUAUUGACUGAGUCCCUCGGGAUUCCUCGUUUCCUCUUGCAUCCGUUAAUCGAGCCGUGAAAGCUCAAUAGCUGGAUAGGAUGAAGACAGCAGUAUAUUGCUGGAAAUCAAUUUUCCAACCCCAAAAAAGCCUAAAACACAUUGAUAUAUACACGGGUAUACAGUUGGAAUAUACCAAAAACACGUGCAAAAAGGUGAAAUGCGGAUCAGAAAAUACGGCAUACAAAAUUAGAUAAAAUACAGGUUUCAGAAGUUUCAAAAUAGGCUGGAUACGCAUCAAUAUACAGCGGCACAUUUCUUUAUUUAAGAGAAAUGGGGCCAAAGCCCAUUUGAGUUCCAUGCAGGAUUUUGUGAGAAACUGGGCAAAAGAGAAAAGCAGAAAAAUGAAGGAAAAAUGGGCCCAAGUCCGAGUUUAACUACUUCCUUUCUCUCUAUAUUUUUACUAUAUUGAUUGACUAAUGUUAUUGAAUUUCAAUUUUAAUUUAAUUAAUUACCAGCGAUAACUAUUUUUCUUUUACUUUAUAUGUCCAAAAGUUAAUAUAUAUAUAUAUACUAUCUUUUAAUUGGUCUUAUUUUAUUUAACACUUGAAUAUAUUCCCUUAGGAAUGAUCUCCUCUAGUUAUUUCACAAAUGAUUAGAGAAAGAAAAUAAAUAGAUAAAAUUAAUUAGAUAAUAAUAGUAAGUAAAUAAUAAAUUUCCUUUAAUUAAUUAAAAUCUGAAAAAUAAAUUAUUUUAAAAGAUUAUUUAGUCAAAUUAUUUUAGCGGACAUUUCGAGGGUCUAACACCUUCUUAGAAUGUAAAUUUGAACUUCAAAUCAUUUUCAAUUGAUUUUUAUCUAUUUUGAAAAUAAUUAUAAGUUUUUCUCGAUAUUUACUAAAAGAAUCAAGUGGUGACUCUGUUAAUUCGGAAAUUGAUUUGUCUUAACCCAUAAGAUUAAUUGAUUUUUCGAAACUUAAUUAUUUUUUACUAUUAUAUAUAUUUUUCAAGUAAAACAAGAACGAACAUGGAGACAAAAAUAUUAUCGGUGUUUAAAGCGCUAAGGCAUUGCAAAAGAUAUAAUUUCAGCAAUUACAGAUAUAAUUGGAGGUGAUUAAAAUGUACCAUGGCAGCAAACAGAGGAAAUAAUUAGCUCUACACAGGCAAAGGUUCAACAGGUGUUUCUAGAAGCUAAGAAACUAACAGGACAAAUUGGUAAAUGAAAUGCCAAUAGAAAUACAUGCCUUUCCAACAGUUAUUAGUGGAAUAUAGAGGAAUGGUGAAAGCAGAAAUUCCAUUACUACAGAUUAAAACAAGGAAGAUAAUAGUACAAGCAGCACAGUUAAGCUAUGUACAUCAAAUAUUUCCACUAUACAGGCAUAUAAUAUAACUGUGACGAAAACAAUAGUCCUAGCUAUGUCAAAUUACAAAAAAUUCCACCAGCAAAAACGAAGUCUGUCAAGUCAGAUACGAAGAGGUUGUCUUGGAAUCUCUAUGUCCGUAUCAAAUCACUGUGGAGUAAGGAAAAAAUGAAAAAAAGUAUAAAGAUGUGCUUAUAUUGUCUCCAAGCAAUAUAUCCGAAGAAAGCCGAGAUCAGGUAGGAAGAGUGAUUGGCAUUACUGGUGAAUCCAUCCCAUUGUUUUAGUCAACUUUAGCUAUUCAAUUGGUACAAGCAAUUGUUAAAAAGGAAUAGUAAUUGAGUUGAAAAGAAAAGAUUUGGUAGUUGGCAAAUUGGUAAGAUUUGCAACUAUUUUUGACUUUGUUAUGUUUACAUAUGCCAUUAGUGACAUAGGUUAUCCUUCUAUAAAUAGAGCAUUCUUGCUCAUUUGUAGAACACACCAAGUUAGAGAGAAAAACCAUUUUGAGAGCAAAGUGAGGUAUUCCAUAGAUUAUAUAAGAAAAUAGUCUGUGAAGAAAAAUAGAGUGUGAGCGAUAUUUUAGUAAGACGGAAACCAUAAGAGUGUUGUUCCUUUUGAGUGUUGUAUUCGUGACUACACAGUGUAAAAUUCCUUACUAUAAUAAUAUCAAUUGCUCCUCUUGGCCCGUGAUUUUUUCCCUUAUUUAGAAGGGUUUCCACGUAAAAUUCUUGGUGUCGUUAUUUUCCCAUUUUAUUUCCAUUACUUUUACCAUAUAUACUUUUGUGCUUGUCCGCGUUUUCCCAACAAUUACAACAUAUAAAUGGAGAGGAGGGAGGAGUUACUUCUGCGAGCUUCGAAUUAUCACGACCUCAGCAUAAAUAAUUCACAGCUUGAGGAAAUGAUCUUGUACAAACCUCUUAUAAUUCAUUCAUUGCAUAUAUAUGAAAAGUAGUGCGGAAUUAAAACUUUUCAUAAUAAUAAUCAAACUCUUUUAUAAAAAUAUAAGAAAGAACUAAGUCUCUUCAUAGCCAUCUUAGACACUUAUAACAUGAUAGAGUCACAACCCUUACAUCAAUUUGAAAAGAAGCUAUAGUCUAUUACAAAGUCUUUGAAAAAGGAAAACUAAAACAUAAUCCACAUCCUCAAACAUAUGAGGACAUACCAAUCUUCAGAGAAUGAUAUUUUCCAAGCUUCAACUUCUAAGAGAAUCCUCACUUGCAGUAUGGCUGGUAAGGGGACAUGGAAGGGGACUGGGGGACGGGACGGGGGACGGGGAGAGGGGAUUUGAUACGGGAUCGAGAUUGGGGGGACAAAAAUAGGUCCCAUCCCGUCCCACUAUAUAUACGGGAUGGGAUGGAAUUUGGGGGGACGGGACGGGACGGCAUGGGACGGGGUAUUUUUUUAAAAAAUACUUAUAUAUUUUUAUUGAAAUUACACGUCUUUAGCUAAUAAAUUUUAAAUUUAAUUUUUGAUUUUCAAAUAUCAAAAUAAAUUUUCAAAUUUUAAGAUUCAUGUUUCAAAUUCCAAGUUUCAACUUUAAAGUUUUAAAUUUCAAAUUUGAGAAGUUUAAAUUUGUAAUUUAAAUAUUUUAAAGUAAUGUAAAUUGUAAACUUUAAAUUAAGUAUUUUAAAAUUAGUUUAGUACUUUAGUAUAUAUUUUAUUGUAUAUAUUAAAUUAAAAUGCAAAACAAUAAUUGUAUAAAAAAACUUGAACAAAAGUUAAAACCUUCAAAUUUAUUCAAUAGAACUUAGAACUUACAAUUAACAAAUAUUAGUGGAGUAACUAAUCUACGCAACCACCUUCUAGGAAGGGUUCUGUUUCAAUAAGUUCUCAUACGUAAAACUAAUAUUUGUUAUAGAUAUUAGAUGAGUAACUAAUUUUACGCAGCCACCUUCUAGGAAGGGUUCUGUUUCAAUUAGUUCUCGAAUGUAAUCUAAAAAUAUCUGUUUUCUCCUUUAAAAUUUAAUUCUAAUUGUCACAUCAUAUCGAUGGUGUUAUCCUCCGGUGUUGGCAAACUUGUUAGAAAUUCUUGUGCCUCUAAUUCAUCAUCACUGCAUUCAAUUUGUGUUUUGAUCCAACUUGCUUGUGUUUUACUUAACUUUGGCAAAUUGUUAUUCCUCCUUUCGGUAUUGGACCAGUCUCUAAAUAAAACUGUUGUUUCCAAACUGUCUUCCGUCAAUGAAUGUCUAUGAUCACCAAUUUGAAACCUUGCCGCACUGAAAGCAGCCUCUAAUGCAACUAAUGAAGCUUGAAUAGCUAGAACAUCACGAACCAUUUUGCUCAAAGUUGAAAAUGCAUCGCUUCGCCUACUCCACCAUCCUAAUAAAUCUUCAUUGUCAUCUUUGAUUUCCAAUACUUCUAAUGAUUGAUUAAGAUAUUCUUCAAAAUCAUCACGGUUAGUAGAAUUAAGAUCAAGAAAACCUCGCAUAUAACAUGAAAUUGAAAGUGACAAAUCAAUCUCAACAUUAGAAGUUUGACCAACUUCUUUUUGAAAAUUUUCAAUAGUUCUAUAUUUUUCAUACAACAGUUUUGCUUCUACUUUUAUGCUAGACUUACACGUUUGACAAUUUGGAAUUUCUUCCGGUAAAAUUUUUAAAGUUUCAUAAAAAGUGUCAACAAGGUCUUGCACACCUUGUAAUUUAUAAGCAGGAUGAAGUAAAGUAGCCGUUAAAAAAACUUGAGAAAUAGGAAAAAAUAUUUUUGAAAAUUUUCAAUCAUACCUUCAAUUGCAACUCUAAAAUUUAUCUAUUUUUUUAUAUUUACAAAAUUGAAUUUAAAGAGCACAAAUAUUUAUUAAUACGGAUGAAAUAGUAGGAUAAUAAAUUUCCGUAAACAUGGUAAUCGCAUCAUAAAAAAGUCUUCUUUAGUUUUUUUCCAAACUUCAUCACAAAUUCUAUAUAAUGGUUCAACAUUAUGAGCAUUAAAAAUCAUUUGUAUGAGUCUUCUAUAUUUAUAAGCAACCGAAAGCAUUUCGUAAAGAGAAUUCCACCUUGUUUUAAUAUAUUUUAGAAUUUUUCUAGGUGACAAUUCACAUAGUAAACAACGGUCAUUAAAUUCCCUAAUUCUAGCAGCAUUGUUUGUAUGAAAAAAUUCAGGUAACAACAUAUUCAACUUUUACGCUACCACAAUCAAAUAAUGAAAUACCAUCUUGUACAACUAUAUUUAAUAUAUGUGCAACACAUCUAACAUGAAAAACAUUAUUGUCAAUUGGACAUGAUCUAACUUUUAACAUUUUAGCAGCGUUUGUAUUAUUAGAUGCAUUAUCUAAUGCAACAGAUAUUAUUUUAUCUAUAAUCAUGUAAUAAUCUAAAACACUUAAAAUAUUUGAAUCUAAAUAUGCACCAGUUUUUUUCUCUAUACAUAGUUUAUAACUUAUAAUUCUUUUUUGCAAAUUCCAAUUAUGAUCAAUCCAAUGUGCAGUAAUAGUUAAAUAAUCAUUUCCAUUAACACUACGACCCAUGUCCGAAGUUGUACACACUCUACAAUGACAAUGUUUACCUUGAUAUUCAAAAACAUCAGAUUUAACAGUAUUUCUUGAAAAUCCUCUAUAAUUCAGAAUAUAAGUUUGUUGAAUAUAUUCAAUAAAACCUGGAUUUGAAGGAAAACAAUAAGGCAAACCACAAACAUAAACCAUUUUAGCUAAAUUUUCCCAAUCUAAUUCCUUAUUAUAUUUAUGUUGUGUUAUUGGACCAGCGGGGUUAAAAGGAUCUAAUGUUCCUUGAACCAUGUUAGAAGCCCCUAUCGAUGCAUUACCGGUAAUAUCUAAUUCAUUAAUUGAAAUUCCCUUUUUUCUAUUGGCUAAUGCUUUAGCUUCUUUAUAUUGAAUCGGCACACAAGAUAACAAAUGUCUAUUUAAUCCACCUCUUCCACCUUGACCCCCACCAUGUUUAUGUUUAAAAGGUUCCUUACACUUAUUACAAAUAGUAGGUGUUUCUUCUAACUCCUCUUCUCCCAAAUCAGCUUCUACUUCUUCACCUGAAUUUUCAUCAACAUUAGGAUUAAUAUUACCAUAACGUCGUCCUAAGCUUUCAUGAUCGAGUUGAACAUUUGAAUCAAUAUCAUAAGGAGAAUCAUCAACAUAAGUGGAAUUAUUUAUGUUAAAUCUAAUUGUACUCGUUGAUUUAGAUGAAGUACCACUACUUUUACCACUCUUUUUUUCUUUACUAUUUUUUUACCAAAAUUAAAUAAUUUAAAAAGUCUACUUUCAUCGUUAUAUUGUGCUUUCUCUUUUUCUUUACCGCUAUUUUUUUUUGCUAGAACUCAUAUUUAAUUAUAUAUAUAUAUAUAUAUAUAUAUAAAGUGUAAUAUAAAAAUAAUAAUCACACAAAAGUAAAGACGAAAAAUAAAAUAUAAAUAUUAUGAAACGAAUGUACCAAACGUCUGCGUUAAUAGCAGACUCUAAACCGAUUGUUGAAACUUGUGGUUUUUGUAACUUGUAAUUUAUAACUCCAACCAAUACUUGAUAACAAAUAUGAGAUAAUAUAAUUAUAUUUAUUGAUAUAAUAUGAAAAUUUUGAAUUGAAAAUUGAAAUAUAUGGUUUCUAAUAAUAUGAGAGUUAGAAUGGAAUAGAAAUUAAGAUUGACACUUGAGAGUUGAGAGGAUAUAGAAAAUAGAUGGGAGAAAUGAGAAUAGAUGAUUAUGUAAGAAAUAGUAGGGGAUAAGUGUACUUAUAAUAUUAAAAAUGGGUUAAAGUGUAAUUAUUAUAACUUGAUGGUUUAAAAUAAAAUUUUAAAAGUAGGUGGGGUGGUAGGGGGGUAGGGGGUGUUUGGGAACACAAAAAGGGAUAAAAAUCCGUUUGGGGGGGGGGGGCCUCUAGCCGUUUCCCCAACAGAUCUAAACGGUCAAAUUUUUGAAAUUUUUUUUUAAAAAAAACAAAACAAAAAAAUACAGAGGGGAUCCCGCGAACCGGCCGGUUCAACCGGGUCGACCGAGACGUAGGGGUGAACCGACCCCUGACUGGUCCCCUCAUCCCCCACCCCUUAAACCCUAGGGGAUGGGCAGGGUUCGAAACGGGGCUGGUCAGGACGCGGGCCGGGGCGGGCCAUCAUGAUCCCCCUGCCACCCCUACUUGCCAGCUACACUUUUAGAAAUAGAGAAACAUAUGGAAUCAUCACAUUGAAUGCACUAAGUAUGGUGAACAUGAAAGAAAACCAUGCAAAAACGGACGUUUGCUUUAAGAUAUACUUUUCAUGCUCUUUUGAUAGAAACCUCAUAAAACAAGUAUAAGAACCAUCUUCAAGCCAAUAUUCAUAUAUAAGACAUAAUCAAGUAACCCACAAAAUACAACCAUAAUCACUUAGAAUCCAUAUGAACAAUUAGACCUCCUGCCAAAGGUUAUCUUAAGACUCACCUAAGUAAGAUAUGAAGUGGACGCCCAUAUAACCCCUUCAUACAUAUCUAAGUGAUCCUCAAGACUUCCUAAAGUAAGUGUAUUCCUUUUUUAUCAUUUAGACUCUCCACCUAAGUUACUCUAGGAUUCACCUGAGUAAGACAUGAAGAAACUGCCCAUACACUUUCUUCAAGUCCACCUAAGUAAUCCUCAAAACUACCCUAGAUAAGAAAUUUUCUAUUCAACAUGCUUUAAGUAAGUCAACAUUAUUCAUUGAUCCAUUUAAGAAAUAAUCAAAAAAAUUAGAGGACUUCACAUAGUGAUCUUGGAAGACCUGGGGAACUCAUCCUAACACCUUCAAGGCCUACUCGUUCCAUGUGUUGAUAACGUCUCAUUCCACUACCUACACGUUGUAAAACCUAUCCAAUACUAGAAUGUACAUCCCAUGUAAUGAGAUUAGGAAUUAACUGACAUAGACCAUACUAGCUUGAUAUUAAAUUCGAUGUCAUAAGGACCCCACACCGUGGAAGGUGUUCUACUUGUCAAAGGUAAAACUAGGACUUAUCACAUGUUGGCACAUGGUUAGGGAUAUCAAGGGCUUUUUUGUAUAUUAGUCUCAUUCUCAAGUAGAGCUACUACCACAAGCACAUCCUCUCGGUGCUUUGCCUUUAUUCUCAUAGAGUAAUUCAUUCCCUAGGUGUAUUAAAGAAGGUAUCAUUACCAGGUCCUACCAAAUCAUAAUACUCUUCUCAAGGAUGGCUCAUUCUUAAGCUUUUUUUCAUAUUCAAGGUUCCAUAUUAGUCUUCUCAUAGAAGGUCACCUACUAUAGGUCUACCUAUCCUAAGACUUCAUUCUUUCAUUCAUUCAUACACAUAUAUGAUAAGGGUGCCUAAGCCUACCAAGUCAAGAAUUCAUAAUCUAUAAUCUUUCAUGUAUAAAAAAGAGGGACCUAAGUCUAUAAAAUCAACAUCAUCAUACCAUCAUUUAGAGGGAUCAUACUUUCACUUCACACAUGCACAUACACAAUAUCAUCCUUCACAUUUUCAUCUAUAAAAUCGAUAACAUGAUGAUACUAUAAUUCACAUAAUAAUGCCGACAAGGCCAUGUUCAUAACAUUUAUAACAAUUAAACAUCGCCACUAUAAGUAGACUAUACCAAUCAACAAUAAUUCAAUAUCAAUUCUAUAGUAUACAAAGGAAUUAGGUCAACUCACCACCUUGCAAUGGCCCUCAUCACUAUUCCUUAUUCUUUCCAAUCAAUUCACACAAUAGGAGAUUCAUACCAUUGAUAAUAUACACAAGAUAAGCCAACAAUCCAUCCAUAUCAAUGAUCGAAUAAUUCUCAAUGUAGACAUUCAACAUUAUAAUACAAGAUAUGAACAAUUCUAUAAUAAUCAAUGCAUAAUUCAAUAGCCCAUAACAAUCUACACAUGAAUUCAAUACGAUUAAGUCAUGAUCAUUUCACCCACUUUAGAGCCAAAAUUCGUAAUUCAAAGAAUACAUGGGUUCAUGGAAUCUUUUUAUCAUUAAACCAUCAAUUAACAUUGAAUACUCCAUAAAUAAUCAAUUAAAAUCUUUUUAUGCAAGAACCCAUGCUUAGAAUGCGAAAUGGGGUUUUGGGGUUUUUGAGAUCUUUCGAAAAACCUUUGAAAUUGGCUUAUUAAAUUAGAGAAGAAUCAAGGAUGAAAUUAGCAUACCUUAAUUGAAUAAAUCCUACGAAAUUAGGCUUGAAAACUUGGAGAAAUUGAUCUUCUUCCUUGGAUCUUGAAGUUCAUCAAUGGAGGAUUUAACUAGAGAGAAUGGAGAGCUUAUAAAUUUUUAGAUUCUAAUUUAGGGUUGAGGUUUUUGACUUGGGUAAAGGGUGUAUGAUGACCUAAAUCCAUAUAUAAUACACCCCCAAAAUACCCAACACACCUCUACAUUAAUUGGAACUUUUUAAACAAGUUAAACUUAACUUUAAUUUUUGGAAUCAUCGUCGGUGAACAAGUACGUGUCGCAGAGAUUUUCUUACCAGAUUUUUCAAAAUAAUUUUUGGGACAGUAGAGUCCAUGAAAUGUACGCAAUGUGGACAAAAAAUUUGGACUAAUGUGAACCAAGUCUGCGACGCAGACUGGUUUCUCUAAGGAACAAGUCCUGCUGCCUUGGGCAGCUUGCUGGCCCAAGGUCGGGUCCUCCUAAAGAACCCCUAGGGCGGUCCUUAGGGAGUUGUAACUGGAAGUUUUGAACCUAAAACUUUACCUCUAGAUUUUAGGGUCAUCCCCACUGAUUUUAAACUCCAAACAACACCCAAAAACACAUAUAACGUACAAGGAUACACUAGCACACACUCAAGACUACUUUUUGAAUGUCUUGGUUGUCCUUUGACGUUUUGACUUCCAAACUCUACAAACUGACUUCUAAAGCUAAUAUUCAUUAUUUAAUACCUUAUUAAAUCAUAACUCACAUGAUAGUAUCUAGUUUAACCUAGUUCAUUUUGAGGGUUGUUACAUUUGAGAAGAAUAAAACUCCGUAGAAAAUUGGAUUUUGUCCCGCUACGGUGGGAUAGAUGUCGCUGACGCGAUGGCGGGGUGAGUUUCCACUGCAGCAGUAUCAUCAAGACAGAAGCUUAUUUAUGAGAAGUCCUUAUAUUUCCGUCCUCUUAAAAUACCCUAAUAUGUCGUAAAUUAUCCUAGAAACCCUAGUCAAGUUAGUAAAAAAGAAGGGUAGGGAGCUUUCUAGCGUAAAGAUGGAAAAAUCUUGUGAGAUCUUGGUCAAAUUUACCGUAGCGCAUUAGGAAAAGCUGGAAGCGAAAUCAAAAUCCCGUACAAAUUUAUUAGCACCUAGGUAGAUUAGGUUUAUUUUGAGUAAUUAUAAAUCCAUGUUUACCAUGUAAUAUAUGAAUUUAACAGUAUUAGGUAUGUUAGACCUUUGUGCACCGAGUAAAUUCCGUGAAAAGUUGUCAUAAUUCAAUGUUUAUGGGGUUAGUGUUGGAUUGAGACAGUAAAUCGCCUGAGGUUCUUAUUUUAUGUUUGUGAACGAGUGUAUUUUUAGGUCAUGGUUUAAUGGUGACAAGGAGUAGUAGUUAGGAUAAAGAAAACUACUAACAAAACUUGAUGAAGAACUAGAAUUUGGACUUGUGUAAUUCUGUAAGAAGAAAUUGAGUGAACCCAUAUGUAAUUAAGUAUGUGAAUAGGUGAUGGUUGUGAUUAUAUGAUGGUAUGAUAUACACGUGUUUUACUUCUAUGCAUGUUGCAAUAGUGGUCUUAGAUGUUGAAAAGAGAUAUGUGAAUAUCAAUAUGAUGAAAUCAUGACUUAAAUGUGUGAUCUUGGUGUGUUGUUGUGAUGUCUGAUUAGGAUUGGCUGUCACGUUUCGGCACUCUAACUUGGAUCGGGUUUCCACGUUCCGGCAUACUAACUGGGAUCGGUUGCCACGUUAGGGCAUUCUAACUGGGUUCGAUUGCCACCUUCUGGCAUAAAACUUUGAUCGGAUUGCCAUAUUCCUGCAUGCUAACAAUUUGACUUUGGGUCCCAUGAGAGGGCCAAUUACUUGUGAUAUAUGGUGAAAUAUGUUGUGCUCAAUUUCGCGAGGCGUGUAUAUGUAUCUACAUGUUAGGGGUUAAACUAUGAUCUAUUGGAAUCUUAAGUGUGGUAGUGUUACUUGUGGUAUAUAAUAUGGUUAGUAUGUUUAAGCUAUGAUCUGUUGGAACCUUAAGUGUGGUAACAUUACUUGUGGUAUAUAAUGUGAUUAGUAUGUUUAAGCUAUGAUCUGUUGGAACCUUAAGUGUGGUAACAUUACUUCUGGUAUAUAAUGUGAUUAGUAUGUUUAAGCUAUGAUCUGUGGGAACCUAAGUGUGGUACUGGUACUUGUACUAUACAAUGUGGUUAGUAUAUUUAAGAUAUGAUCUAUUUAAAUAUUAAAUGUGAUAGUAUAUUUUAGAGUUUUUACAUGAACAUCUAAGGGAGAGUGUUGUAAAUAUGUAAAUAAUAUUAUGGACCUACCUUUUUACGGUAGCAACACCAUUUCUCCAAGUAAUAUUUUUCCUAUAAAAGGAUAUGCAAUACAAGAUAUCAAAGACAAGUGAAAACAAAAUUUUACUUCAUGAUCUUUCUACUUUACAUAUUUUUCUCUCUUUUCUCUUGCAAUUUAAGUUAAACAUUUUCUUUAUUUUAUAACAACUUAUUUGUUUUUUAUUAACAAAGAAUUACAUAAUUAUUCAUGAUUGCAAAAAGAGAGUGUAAUUAGAAGCAUACAAUUAAAAUCACAAGCCACAUUAAAGGUAACAAAAAAAAAUGUAUAGCAAUGUAUAGUGUUUGUGAAAUCUCUUUAUCGGUGUAGUGACGCACUUGGUGUUGGAAAAAUAUUGGAAAUCAUGGAAAUUUUUUUAGCGUGAAGGAUGCCUAUAAUACUGUUCUUAAGAAUAUUUCAUCGCUUAAGGUGUGUAUCUUUCAAUUGCUUCAAAAUCUAAUAAGCUCUUUUAAUUAUAAAUUUGAUGCUAGAAUCUAACAAAGAAGAUACUUUACUUUAAAUAUGUGUCAGUAAGGAUUUUGAAUAAUGUCAUAAAGACAAGAUUACCCACUGCAAUAUUUACUCAACAAAACCGCUAGCCACAUUUAAGAAUAACUUAAUAUAAUAUUAAUAAGGCCAAAGUAAUUUAAGGUAACAAUAUGCAAUAAAUUCUUUUGACCAUCUUUUUUAACAAUAGAUUUAAAUAUUUCCAAUUUUUUUUUUAUACUUUUUAAGAUAAUAAAGAUAUUUUAUCAAACACUUGGUACAAUAUGAAAUUCAGGAAGUAUGACAACUUUAUAUAUUUAUUGUUAGUAGUACUUGUAAAAAUUAUUCCUUAGUAUUUUUCUUAAAUGAUAGUAUUUACAUUGUAGUUCUUUUGAAAUACUAAUCAAGACAAAUAAAUAUUUUCAAGAGGCCAAUUAGAAAAGAAUUAACAGAGAGAAAAAUUGAAACAAAAAUAGAGAGUAGAAGAUCUCAAAAUCAUCCAAAUUUAUCAAAAGAUAUAUAAAUCUGUAUUUUACUCAAAUAAAAAUCAGUCAAAGAGCAUCAUACAUAAGGUUUAGGGGGUGGUGGGGGAUAGCAACAACGACAUUUUAGGCCGAUAGUACAUCCACAACUUAGCAAGCCACCUAAAUCUUUGCAGAAGGGUAUACAAUCAUCAUCAUCGUGACAUUCAGGGGUAUCAUUAUUAUUCAUCGAAUCUUUGAAAAGAUUUUGUUUUUUGACUUCCAUAGAAUUUCCUAUCCGAUUAAAGCUGCAAAGAACUAAGCAAACCAAAAUAAUCAAAGCCAAUAUACUUUUUGCCAUCUCUAGAAGAAGAUGAAUAUAUUUAAUCUUGUAUAGAGAUGUGAUACAACUUAAUUGGUAUGUAUUUAUAGUUUCUGAGAUGCAUAAUAACAUAUUCAUUAUUUAAUAAGGUCCUUAAAAGGAGGAUUUGCAACGUAUACAUUUUUUGAAAGCUACCUAAGCUAUUUAAUGAGUUUGAUUUAUUACAGUUUUCCUUUUUUAAAAAAUAAAAUCUAAAUUAAAUUGUUGUAGAUUGUACAAAAUAAAGGUAAGUAACUAAGUAUUAAUUACAAUAUGCCAAUAUAUUUAUAUUUUGUAAAACUUGGCAUGAUAAUAAUUUUAAUCAACAUAAUCAAUAUAUUAUCUAUUAGAAAACUGAAAAAAAAUAAUCAAAAUAAACGCAAAAGAGAAGAGUUUGGGAGGUGGUAAACUUCUUACUGAACCCCACAUUAUCUCAACCACUAAGCCACAAAAGAAAUUAAAACUGACCUUCUAAGUCACAUGUUUCCAGUAACUUGGAAAUAGCAACCAUAUACCCUUAAAACUAGGAAAGAAGAAACUUAAUUAAUUAAAAUAUCUAACAAACCCUCCCUUAAACUGAUAAGUCUACGACUUCAGCUUAAUAACAUUUUCACAGUAGUUUUCUCUUAAAGUGCAAACUCCAAGUAGCUUCCUUAACUUUCUAAAUGUCGUCAGCUUGAGGGACUUAGUGAAGAUAUCAGCAGCUUGUUCUUCACUUCUACAGUAGACAACAUCAAUAACUUUCUCUUUCGUGAGAUCUCUUAGGUAGUGAAACUUAACAUCUAUGUGUUUGCUCCGUCCAUGCACCACUGAAUUCUUUGAAAGCUUAAUAGCUGAGCCAUUAUCGCAGUAAUUAAGAAUUGGUUCUUGCUGUCGAACAUGAAGCUCAGUCAAUAUCUUCUUCAACCAAAUUGCUUGGGUGGCACACACAAUUGCAGCUACAAAUUCUGCUUCUGUAGUGGACAAUGUAACAAUUGGUUGCUUCUUGGAGCACCAAGAAACAACUUCAAAUCCAAGCAUAAACACAUAACCUGAAGUGUUUUUCCUGUCUUCUUUAUCUCCAGCAAAAUCACUAUUUGUGAAGCCAAUUAACUCCGACUUGCCUUCUUUCUUGUAUAGAAUACCAUAGUCAAUGGCAUCUGGCAAAUACUUGAGAAUUCUUUUAGCAGCCAACAAAUGAAUCUCUUUUGGGUGCUCCAUGUACCUGCUAACAAGACUAACAGAAUACAUUAUGUCAGGCCUGGUGACUGUUAGAUACAUCAGACAUCCCACGAGUUGUUUGAAAAAAGUGUUGUCAAUCUUCUUUCCUAUAGGAUUCUUUUCCAACUUCAGUCCCAACUCUGUUGGUGUCGUGACAGAUUGCAAUUCUGCAUUCCAAUCCUCUGUAAUGUUUCCUGGACAUAUUUCUUUUGUGAAAUAAAAAUUUCACUACUUGAUUGCUUUACUUCAAUUCCUAGAAAGUAAUGCAUCAAGCCAAGAUCAGACAUAUCAAACUCAGUCAUCAUGGCUAGCUUAAAUUUUUCAUGAAAUACAGGAUCACUCUCAGUAUAAAUCAAAUCGUCUACAUAUAAGCAUACAAUCACAAGUUUCCCAUCCUCAAGUCUUGUAUAAAGUGUAUGCUCAUAUGGGCACUUUCUAAAGUUUUCUAGAUUAAAUAUGCAUCAAUGCGACUAUGCCAAGCUCGAGGAGCUUGUUAUAUCCCAUAUAAAGCCUUUUUCAAUCUAAAACUUUAUGCUCACUUUCAUGCAUCACAUAACCAGGAGGUUGAUCAACAUAUACCUGCUAUUGCAGCUCUCCGUGCAGAAAGUCUGAUUUUACAUCAAGUUGAUAAACCGGCCAAUUGUUUUGAGCUGCAAAUGCCAACAUACAUCAGAUAGUAUCAAGUCAGACUACCGGGGCAAAGACCUCCUUGUAAUCCACACCAUACUCUUGCUUGUAUCCUUUCACCACCAAGUGCGCCUUGUAUUGUCAACUUCACCAGACUCAUUGAGUUUGGUUUUAUAAAUCCAUUUAAGUCCAAUCGAUCUUUGGCCUUUUGGAAUAUCCGUAAGCUCCCAAGUAUUGUUCUUUUCAAUUGCGGCAAUCUCAUCAUCCAUUGCCUUCUGUCACUUUACAUCUUUAUAGGCAUCCUCAAAUCUUACGGGAUCACAACUAGAAAAUAAAGUUAAAUAUGUAGAUAAAUCUUUAUUUUCAUAUUGAACAUUUCCACUCACCUCAUAAUCUGACAUCCAUGUUGGCCUUCUUCAAUUUCGUUGAGGUCGGAAGCUGGUGCCUUCUUGAUCUACCAAGGUAGAAACAACUUCAUCGGCUAUUGGUUGCUUUUGCUCCAUAUCUCGAUCAUCAAGAUCCAAUGGAAGUUGUUGGUUGUUUGGCUUUUCUUCCCACGACCAGAAAUUAUCUUCAGCAAAUACCACAUCACGAUUGAUAAUCACUAUCUUACUGAUAGGAUUGUACAACUUAUAAGCUUUCGACUCCCUGCAAACACCCAUGAAAACACACUAUUUGGCUUUGUCCUUUUCUGAUCCGGAACAUGAGCAAAUGCAAUGCACCCAAACACUCUCAAAAUGUUGAACAUCUGGUUGUUGUCCACUCCAAGCUUCUUCUAGUUUCAUAUUUUGAACAGCACGAGAAGGACUUCGAUUCAACAGAUAAACGCUCCAGCAGACUGCUUCAGGCCAAAAUGCUUUUGGAACAUGGCUCUUUUGUAAAAGGCUUCACACAACAUUCAUGAUUGUUCGAUUCUUCUUCUCACAUACUCCAUUUUGUUGAGGAGUAUAAGUUGUAGUAAGUUGUUAUUGUAUCCCAUGAAACUCACAAAAAUUUGUAAAUCCUUGUGAAAGAUACUCCCCUCCACGAUCAGUAUGAAGAAUCUUAAUGGAACAUCCUGUCUCCUUCUCAACAAGAUCUUUGAAGCUUUUGAAAAUGGUAAAAGCUUCCAAUUUUUCUUGCAGAAAAUAAAUUCAUGUCUUUUGGCUAAGAUCGUCAAUAAACGUUAUAAAGUAACGUUUUCCUCCAUUGGAUAUUGGAUUUAUUGGUCCACAAAUAUCCGAGUGAACCAACUCUAGCUGUCUUUUUGCUCUCCAUGCUUUUCCUUUUGGAAAGCUAUCACGAGAUUGGUUUCCAAUGACACAAUCUUCACAAAUAUCUACAGGCAUAUCAAAAUUAGGAAGGCCCGUAACCAUCUUCUUUUGCUGCAACAUUUUCAGUUCUCCAAAAUUCAAAUGUCCAUAUCUGUAGUGCCAAAGCCAAGAUUGACUAUUCAACUUUGUUGAAAAACAAAAAUUGGUAGAGCCAAUAUUAUGUAUAUCAAGUGGGAAAAGCUUAUUUGCCGUCAUCUUAGCUUCAGCGAUCAAUGCAAAAUUAGAAUCUCGGAUCCUGCAAAUUCCAUGCUUGAUAGGCACCUCGUAGCCGUUCUCUUGAAGUUGACCCACAUUGAUAAGGUUUGUUUUCAGUUCUGGUGCAAAGAAAAUAUCAGAGAUAAUUUGCAUAGAUGAAGACUUUGUUUGGAGUUUCACCUUCCCUUUACCUUUGACAGCUAUACGAGAAUCAUCGCCAAACUUGACUGUUGUGCAAAAAGUUUCAUCUAGUUCAGAAAAUGCAGAUUUUCUCCAGUCAAAUGGUUGCUACAACUCGUGUCUAAAUACCAUAAGCUUUUGUGGUAUUGUUCUGAGGAUUGGCUCACCAUUAACAAAGAGACCUCCUCCUCCUCAGUUACUUCUUCAAAAUUAGAGUUCUCCACACGUACAUUUUUCAGAUUUGUACGACAUUCAGAAUGGUAAUGACCAUACCUGUGACAUCUAUAACACUCGAUAUGAGACUUAUCUACAAAUCUUGCCUUCCCAUUGGACGAGUGUUGUUGAUCACGAUCAUGCUGACCAUUCUGUUCUCGGUUUCCCUCUUCAGUUUUCUCUGAGUUUCUUCCCUUCCACUUGCUCUUUCUGCGCCUAGAAUCUUUGGAGGUUGUGGUUACUUGUAAUGCUUGCUCUUCUACAUCCUGUUGAACACUUUUCUGCUCAUGAACCAUCAAAGAAUUUUGUAAUUCAUCAAGUGAAAGAGUAUCCAGAUCUUUGGACUCUUCAAUGGAACAGAUAACGAAAUUGAAUUUCCGCAACAUGGACCGCAGGAUCUUCUCAACAAUGGUGACGUCUUCGAGCCUCUCUCCAUGAAUCCGCAUCUUGUUGGCAAUUGUCAUAGUGCGUGAGAAGUACACUGACACCGACUCUCCUAGCUUCAUACGCAAGGUCUCAAACUCACCUCGUAGAGUUUAAAGCUGUGCUCGCUUUUCCCUUGCAUUUUCCUGGUACUUCUUCUUCAUGGAGUCCCAAAUUUUGCUUUGAGAGUAUCCUUGCAAAGAAUUGUUUCCAAUUCUGAAUGAUCAAUGGCUUGGAAAAGAUGAUUCUGUACCUUCAAAUCUUUCAACUUCAGUGCUUCAAGAUAUGUCUGUUGAGCAUUUGUUUGAACAACACCAGCCGCAGGUUCUUGGCAUCCACCAUCAACGACUGCCCAGAACUCUUUGGACCUCAAAAAGUUUUUCAUCAACAUGCUCCAAUGGUAAUAAUGACCAUCAAAGCGUGGAAUAGCAGGUUGAACAAAACUCUCUGAAGACAUGGCGCAGUCACAAUUAAAGCACGUUCACCCUCACUGGCUCUUGAUACCACUAUUAGAAAACUGGAAAGAUAAUCAAAAUAAACGCAGAAGAGAAGAGUUUGAGAGGUGGUAAAGUUCUUACUGAACUGAAACAAUGAACAACCUUUAUAACGGCAAUACACAUCCUACAUUAUCUCAACCACUAAGCCAUAAAAGAAAUUAAAACUGACCUGCUAAGUCACAUGUUUCGAGUAACUUGGAAAUAGCAACCAUAUACCCUUAAAACUAGGAAAGAAGAAACUUAAUUAAUUAAAAUAUCUAACAUUAUCUAGAUUGACAACUAAUUUAUGGAAAGAAAAUGCUUUCAAAAUUUAUCAUCUUUUAAAUUAUAUUUUCCUUUUAAAUUUAAAGUUAGUAUAUCUCUUUUCUUUUGAAAUAUUGGCAAAUUAAUAAGAAGGCAUAAAUUGACCUUAAAUUCAUAGAGUUAAAUCAAAGCCAACAAUUUAGUAAAUGAACUAGAAUUUAUAGUUUAAAGGUUUUUAUAGGUCUGUAUGAUGAACUUUUAACUUUACUGUAAAGAUUCAUUGAAAAAUAAUAUCAUUUGAUCGACUUUUUGCAAUAGUUAGUGAUUUUCUUAUUAUUAUUUUUUUCAUUUCUUUCACAAGGUACGACAUUUUGAUUGUCACUCUAGAAAAUGAAAUUCCUGUUUUCAUGUCUUCUCGGAGUACCAUUUUUUUGGUUGCAUUUUAGAAAACACCCCACUUUUUCAUGUCUUUCACAAAAAUGAGCGAACCAUAGUUUAUAAAUAUGAUAAUUGAAUAUCAUAAGACGGUAGAUUAAUAAACGACAUAUCUUUAUAAUUCUUUUAGAAAUAAAUGUUUGAAAUUACGUGUAAAUAUGAACUUCCAAGUACACAACUAUAUGUAAAUAAAAAAUCGACAAUAGUAAUAAUUAACAAAAAAAAAGAAGUCAAUUUUCUUAAAUUUUUAAGAAAAAUAAAAUCACAACUAGGAAAUUGAAAUCCUACAUCGACCUUGAAAUUUCAAAAAUCAUAAUUGAAAUUGAAAUUGAAAAUUUUUGUUCACAUUUCAUAAGCAAACAACUUGUCAAGUGUAAUCCUACGAAGUAGAGUUCAGAUAGGAUAGAGUGUAUGCUGAAGUAACAGAAGUAGAAGAAAAAUUAACCAAUAACAAAAAUAAUAUAUAAUAACAUAACAAAAACUACAAUACACUAAUACAAGAAUAAAGAUACAAAGAAUCAACAUAUAUAUAGUACUAAAAUUAGAAGGACAAGAAACUACAAAAGCAUUACUACGAGUGCUAACACUAAUAGACAACAAGAAAACACACUACUACCUACUAACCUUCUAGACUAAUCCAAGUCCUCCCACACCCUUCUAUCUAAGGUUAUCUCGGUAAGUUGAAAUUGCUACAUACAUGUCUUAAUUUAAUCACUUUUCAUCAAUAUUUUUUUGAUAUAAUUGUGCCUCUUCCUGAACGUUUUAAGGUAUAAUUUAUUUUUUUAAAAAAAGCUGACGGCGUUUGGUUGAUAUACGUUACUCAAACUCACAAUAACAUUUUAUAACAGAGAGUCUUUUAUUAGUGCACUGUGUUAAUUUUCAGUUGUAUGUAUCAUCCAGUUAUGUUAAUUUCGGAUCCUUUCACUUAGCUAUUGUAAUAUAAUUCAAAUAAUAAUCCAUUUUUCUGGUAUGAGAUAUGUUUUUUUGAAAACCACUAUUCGAAAUUAGAGAAACAUGUUUGUUGCCCUUCUUCACUUAACAAUAUGGGACUUAGGUUCAUUGGCAUAUUAAAUAGGCGGACAACACUAUAAAGCAAAUAACUUUACUUCGAUUCCUCAGGCCAAUGAAAGGACAUGUAAGGUGAAAUUAAAAGAAGAAAGAACUUAGAACUCUAAAUGGGAAAAUUUUACUAUAAAUUGAAGGUAAAGUUAAAAAAAUCAACUUAGAAAUGUAGAGGAAAAAUAGCUAACUGAAAGGAAUAUAAAAUGUCACUAUGAGUAACGUUUUAAUCCUAAAAUGUUAUUAUGAGUAACAUAUAUCAACUUAACGUCGUCAGUUUUUCAAAAAUAAAAUAUACCCUAAAACGUUACUGUGAAAUACGUUUAUAUUUGUUGUAAAAUUUUAGAAAAACAUAUUAUUUUGGUAAAUUGCUUUACAUAAUGACUUAGUUUGGUGAAAAAUUCUACUUAAUUGUCACGAUCCAAAAUUUGGACGUGAUGACAUUCAUCUUAUCCCACCAAGACAAGUCAGCUAAAACUCAACAAUUACAAUAAUAUGCGAAAAAUUUACAAUCAACUUAAAUAUACCUCCAAAAUCUGGUUGUCACGUGUACAAGCCUCUAAAGUAUUACAACUGAAUCAAAAGAAAAUACAAGUCAAGUAUGACAUUGUUUCUAGAGUAGAACAAGAUCAUAAAUAGGAGUGAGAAGCUCCGCUGAAAUCACAAACAACUACCUCAUAAAUCUCCAUAAGAAGUCUCAAACAAAGAGAAGAAAAAGUAUCACAAAGGUCCAGACUAAUAACCUAAAAAAAUUGUAGAAGCAAAGGGUGAAGUACCAAACGAUACGGUACUCAGCAAAUAAACCUCUAAAAAUAAGCUAAGGGGAUAAAAUACGGGUACUCCUUACACCCCAACCAAACCUCCACAACUACAACCUGCAUAAAACCAACGCCAACCUAACAAUCCACCAUUACAAGCACAUAUCUCAAUAACAAUAUUUCAACAAUCACAUAUUUUGAAAAAAAAGCUCAAUAUUCAUCAUUUACAACCUCCUCAAAAAGGCAUUCACAAUAUCAGCAAUACACAAGAUCAAGUUCAACAAAUAGAGUAACCUAAUAUCAAAUAUUUUCAACCACCAAUAAAAUACAUAAUCAUAAAGAAUGAAGGAUGUCAUAGGAUGUAAUGUAAUAUGACACCAUGAAAUAAUAUGCCUCAAAAUACCAAGUAUUCUCUCAACCGUAUAUACAUGAUACUCCUCGAAAAUACAUCGAGAGUUCAUGACCCAUGGGAAACUCACGAGGUCCAUAUAUCGGCACAGACGAUCUCCACAUGUCCGUGCGGACGAUCUCAACGCACUAUCAUAAAUCAAAAAAAUUCCGCACGAACGAUCUCCACGUGCCCAAAUUAUAAUCAUAACUUCUCCGUCGCACGGACGAUCUACACGUGCCCAAAUAAUCAUAACUCAAUCUCAACAAGGACGAUCCCCACUUGUUAGGCUUUUACGCAUACCCAAUGUCAUGUCAAUACAUGUGCACAAUAUGAUAUCAAAUGAAAAGGGUGACACAACAUCUCAAUAAAUCAAAUGUCACUAUCACAUAUAAUGACCUCAAUUAUCACAACUAUACGGGUUCAGUAAAGAACAAAAUCACACAUAAUAAAUCAAGUCAAUAAUAUAUUAGCUAAUGCCCAUAUGCUUUGGCAUUCUCGGAUUACAAUUCACAUUCUAUAGUAAUAAACUUUUCCUUUAUAACACUGAUACUCAUAUCAUUCUCAACCCAUCACACAAACAAUUUAUCACAUUACCUUUUAUUAUCCCUUUUCAUCAUUAGAGUUAAUCAAGGUGAACCAUACCACAAGAAAAUAUAUGAAUUUCAUACAAGGAUUUAGAAACUCACUUGCCUCAAACUAUCGAAAACAUCACUUCGCGACUUACAUCUUCCCGUUUUAUAACAUUUUUGAACGGUUGAAAUCUGUUCAAAUAUAUAAUCUUCAUAAGACUACGAAUCUAGUGACACCCAUACUUUUUUAUUUAGUUUGGGUUCAGAAAUUGGAUCAAAAAAUCACCCUAAACCCUCUAAUUCAAAUAUGUAAUUUUCACCCAUGAUGCAAUAAACUUGCAUCUCAAAUUUCAAUUAAAACAAGUCAUUGUUCAACCCCCAAAUUAACAAUUUCUUUACUAAACCCGCAAUAAUUAAAAUGGUACUUAAUCGAAAAAAAAUAAUCUAUGGACGUCCUAAACGGCUAAAUACAAGAACAAUACUAGGAGUAUCAGAUUCUAUCAGCUUCUACUCAAUUAACAAAAGCUUUGAAGUCUGAAAUUCAAUUGUCGUCUCCGCCUAACACAGUUAACAUUCGGUUCCCCGUUUUGUUUUCGUUUUUUUUUUUCCUUUUUUAAAUAAUUAUGUACUAAAGUGACAAAUUUUAUUAACCUAUUUUAAUAUACAUGGGCCAAAAGAUAUAGGAUCUUAAAUACAUUUCAUAUUUGACCAUUAUUAUCAACUCAAUAAAUCAAUUAUUUAAAAUCAUCCGUCAACUAAACAAUCGUAAUAGCUUCAAAAUUUCGAAACAUAAUUUUUCGGGUCAUUACAUUAAUAAAUAAACAAAAAAAUAUGUGAUCUAUUAAUUCAACAACUCAGGAUAUUUUGAUGCAUUAUUAUUAAUUAUGUUUAAGUCGUUUUGUAAAGUUAUUUAAAAGUAGAAGAAAUUUUGACGAAAUUUUGAUAUUUAUGAGAAAAAAAUAAAAAUUUAAGAAAUCUAAAUUAAAAUUUUAACUGGCCAAGUACCUCACACGCAAAAUCAAAUAAUACUACUAAAUAUUUGUAUAAAACGACUAAUUUUUACAAAAUAGGAUAAGAAAAGCGGUGGAAGUUAUAAAUAAUUAGUAUAGUUUAUAAAAGGGAAAAUUAUAUAUAAUAGCAAACUAAUAACCUAAAAUAAAUGGAGUAGCUAGGGUUUGAUUUAAUUGUGCUCCAUAGCAAACGUUUGCAAAAAAUUGUCAGGCGCCUCUCUCCCAAAUAUCUCUCUCGCCACUCUCCUCCAAUCUCUCGCUCGCUUCCUCACUUUUUGUACAAACACAUGUGUAUAAAAAAAUUUUCUAAUUGUAUAAAGCAGAGAAAAUUAUAUAAAUACAUAUAUUUUUGUUCCCCUCACUCCCCUCUUCCAGAUCUCGCUCGCCACUCUCCCAAAUUUCGCUCGCCACCCUCGCCUUUCUCACUUAUACAAACAGAAGUGAAAUGUAUAAAUUGCGUUUCUGUUUGUAUAAAGCGUGAGAAAAUUGUACAUACACAUGCAAGUACAUAUAUUUUCAUCCUAUACACUUAUAAUUAUACAAUAAAAAUACUCCCCUGCCCAGUUUCUUUUGCCUUUCUCUCUUUCUAGUUUUAUACAAUUUUCAAAUUGUAUCUAAUUUCUCUCUUUCUCGUUUUAUACAAUUCGAUUCAAUUGUAUAUUCCUUGUCAGGUCUCUUUUGUCUUUCUCUCUUUCUCAUUUUAUAUACAAAUUCAAAUUGUAUAUUAUCGUUCUAUACACUUAUAAUAAUACAAUUCGUUUUAUACACUUCAUUUUUAUACAGUUCUCUGCCCAAGUGUCUUUCUCUUUCUUGUUUUAUACACUUCGUUUUAUACAAUUUGCUUCAAUUGUAUAUGUAUAGCGAAUUAUACAAUUUCUAUGUUUGCUAUGGAGCGCAAUUAUGUAAACUUUGCUAGAGCAUACAAAUAUGAAUUUUUUAUUUGCUAUAUAUGAAAGUUGCCCUUUAUAAAAACAGAGAAUAACACAUCAAACUUCUUAUAUAUACAAUAAAUAAUUAGUAUAAUUUCUAAAAACAGGCAACGACGCCUCAAUUUUUUUUAUAUAUAUAAAAUAAAUAAUUAGUAUAGUUUCUAAAAAAGACAACGACGUGUCAAAUUUCUUAUAUAUAUAAAAUAAAUAAUUAGUAUAAUUUCUAAAAACAGACGACGGCGUCAAAUUUCUUAUCUAUAUAUAAUAAAUAAUUAGUAUAUUUUCUAAAAAUGUGUCAAACUUCUUUUAUAUAUAUAUACUAGAUAGUUUUUACCCGUGCUAAGCACGGGCCAAAUAGUUGCAACUUCCAUUUAUACAAUCAUAUCAAACUAAUAUUGGCAAUAGCCAUGAAGACAAACUAAUUUAAUCUAAUAACAUUUAGGCCUCAUUUUUUGCAUUUAAUGGGGGUCUGAAUCUUAAACAGAUUUGCCUCAUUAAGUAUUUUAUUUUUAAUGACUGAAAAUAAUUAUUUAGAUUCAAUCCAUUAAGUUCAUUUGUUUUAUGUUCUUAUAGGCCUCUUAAUGGGUCUAAAUAUAUUUGAAUGACUCAGAUUUAUAACAGACUCUUAACACAAUUCAAACUCAUAAAUAAAACUACUAUAUUAAUUUAACUACAUCACAACAAAUAAUAGAAGUUGUUUCUUACUUAAUUAAUGUUAGUUACAUGCUUACCGUUAUAAUUUCCUUUAUUCUUAUUAACUUAAGAUAUAUAUAUAUAUAUAUAUAUAUAUAUACACACACACACGUCUUUUACUUUCAUAAAUUAAUCAAUAUAUUUGAAUUGAUAAUUAAGCCUUCCCAUCAUAUAAAUAUUUAUCACGAUUUCAGAAAAUAAAAAAGUAUUAGUUAUUUGAUCGUUAAUAACAAUAAAUUUCUAUUAUAAAAUAAAAUAUUUUCCUAAACAAUAUAGUUACUAUUUUAUAUAAACUAUUUUACAUUGCAUUAUAUUAGAUGCUCAAAGUUUUUAAGUGCACAAAAUAAUCAUAUUAAUGAUGUAACUUGAUGUUAACUUCUUAGAAGAUAAAUCAUAUUACUUUGUUACGUUAAAAAUGUUCAAAAUAUUAUUUUCUAUAAAAAAAACUAUUUUACUAACAUGAGAUUUUUAUAAUAUUCUAUUGAUAUAGCAUUUAAUUUUUCAUAUGCGCAUUUAGAUAUUGAAAACAAAUAGUCCUAAUAAUUCAGUUCAGAUUAAGAGAUAACAUCUUAAUAUGCAAAUGUGUAUUCAGAUUUAGACGUCUCAAUCUUAAUGAAAACAAAUGCUGCCAUACUGUAAUGAACAUUCUGUACUUCUUGAUUUAAGUCUCCAAAAAAUGGCAUACAACAUUUGAGAUUGCAGAUUGCCAGGUCUUCUAUUUUUUUCACUUCUACUUUAAUUUGAUAAUUUUGAUGUAGAUUUGAUAAUUACAGUAAUGCGUACAAAUAACCAUUAUGUAAGAUAACAUUGAUAGAAGUUACAACUUACAGGUAUGAGACACCAAAGACACUUACCUCGCAGCUUACUCGAACAAUAAUUUUACAACUUUGUAUCGAAGUCCGUAGCAAAUCUUGACAACUUAAUACUAUUGUUGUAGUAUUAGCCAUUGAUAAAAUUUAUCUAGUCAUUUAGUUUAUUUGUGUUGUUUAAAUUUCCAAGUUGUUGAUGAGUUCAAAGAAGUGAGGAAAAGAACAUUGGAGAGAAGUACAUACACCAAACAUAGCAACUAAAUUCCCUAAUUCAAAGAGAUAAUGAAUACGUUGAACUUGAGAUUAUAUUUGUGUAAUUCUCAAAUUUGCACGAGCUUCAGUCCAGGAAUGUUUGUUCUUUGAGACUGAAGACGUGUUGAACAUGAGAUUUGUAUCUUCAAAUACACGGGAAAAACAUAAUAUUCAUUUCCCUUGUCUUAUUUUCUUAAAUAAAAUCUUUUGUUUAUCACAUGAAAAAGAAAAAUCUCUUUAAUUAUUGGAAAGAUCCUUGGAAGAAAAAAUCAGAAAUUUACUUGACUAUUAAGUUCAAGAUCACCUAAAUGUCUUUAAUCCUGAUUCUCUCAAUUGCAUAACAUAAUAACAUGUAUAAAUUUCAUAUGAGCAAUAAGAAUGAACAUGUAUAGCAAACAUCAUGCGGACCUUGUUCUGAACACACAAGUACUCAGCAUCACUCUAGCUCGUGCUUUCAUCCAUGUAAUGAUAGUUGUAAUGCCAGAAUUUCAAAAUAUAAUUAACAAGUAAAAAUACACAAAAAGGUCAAAGGAGAUUCAACAUCUACUAAUACAUAAAAAUUAUUUUUACUAUGUAUAAUAAAUGUAAUUUUCCAUUAAUGAACCCCUAGGCCAUUGGCUCCGUUGGUCAACGAAAUCUUAGUUCGUUAAAUUUUGAAAUUUCUUGCUUAAGAAAAACAAUCUAAGGAAAAAUUGAAUAAAACACUUGAUAUUUAAAAAUUUGAUAUGUCAUACUUGACGAAGAUCACAUGUAGCACCCUUGUCAUGUGAAGAACUCUUGUCAAGUGAAAUAUGUAAUCAGAGAGAACUUGAGAACUCAACACUAAUAAAAAAAGUAAUUGGGGAAUCAAGAAAUUCAGCUCAAGCAUUAAUGCUAAUAAAGACAUCUUGAAUGAAGUCGGUUGAGAUCACUCAAAACAUAUUUUUGUAUUCGACGAAAAAAUUUCAAGAAUCACUUCGUAAAUAAGUUCCCAUUGAAAUAGUUUUUAGAAAUUAUUGAAUUUAUUUAUACUGACGACGUUCUUUAAGCCAUUCUCAAUAUACAAUAACCAUAUGUCAUGAUCCUUUCUCAUUAAUUACCUCAUAUGAGCACUAAUGGGCUUGAACCAACGCGACUAACUUUGAUAGGCAAAAGUGAACCCCGAUAGAGAAAUUAAUAGUAUACAGAAACAGUUGAUAAAAUAUCAUAUUAAAUAUGAUAAUUGUAAUACCUAAUAAUUAUCUACGGAAUCUCAAAACAAGACCAAUAAAAUACUGUUCUCUACAACUAAAUUAUUGAUAUCAUAAUCAAAUCUACAAAUAAAUUAGCAUAUAAAAAUGUGUGCGACACACACACACCAUGGAUACACAAUUCGCGACGAAAUUUAGCCAAAGAGAUCUGCAAUUAGUGAAAGUAUACACAGUUAGUUCAGCAGUUAUAAAAUUUAGGUAGGGUAUUUUACCAAUUGAACUGGUAGGAGAAAGGAAGGUUUAGAGAAACAAAAAAGCAGGGGAGUAAAAUCAUGGCCAAUUUGCGAGAGAAUUCACGGAAGAGUGAGGAUUGAGCAGUGAAGUGUAGGAUCUCUUUAUUAGUGCUUUUAGAGAGGUCCUUUUGUAAUGUGUGGAGGAUAGAUAUAUAUUACUUAUUGUUUAGAUUUAGAGACUCUUUUAAGUAAUUACCUAUAAAUUCAGAAAAACGGACGAUAAGCCCAAUGGUCAUGGGGAGAUAAAUUGUCCAUCUCAUUAAGAAUAAGAACAUUGAAUAUACAACUGUAACCUUUAAUAUUGCUUACUUCAGCACAUAAUUAUUUCAUUCUAGAUAAGGCAACAAUGUCAAGUGCAUCACCAUCUUCUCUCAUCCAUGGUAAACCUACAUUUGCAUAAAAUAUUAACCUUUCAGUUGUAGUACAAUAUGAAAUUGGUCGUUCCAUACAUCAUAACCGUCACAUUCUUUAAUAGCAAACAUACACUAUCCAAUUGAAUAUUUUGUCAACUCUUAUCCGCCAUAGGACAAGAAAAUCUGAGGUGUAUCGAUUUCAAUGAUCUCAUUUUAUUUGAUAUAAGGCAAAACAUAAAUUCAUAAAAAGUAUUCCAACAAUAGUUUUUUGAGAUAGAAACUGUACACAACCAAACCACAAAAGAUUGAGGAAGAAAAAUAAAGAAUCUGGGCAAGAGAAAAACAGAGAGAAAAGGGAUGACACAUCUGAAUGUCUUUCUUCAAUUUCCUUGUGUUUUUAUUCUAGAUUAGGAUCAGUGCUCGUCAAGCCAUAUUAUGUUAAAAGCUUGGGUGUGAUUACAAGAGAGAACAAGGUAGUUAAUUUGAUGGAGGUCAUUUAUCUUUCAUUGGUAAUUUCAUCAAACACAAUGCAUCAAGAUUCAAGGCAAUUUUCUAUUUAUUUCGGUAGUUAUCAGUUAGGCUACUGACACAGAAUUUUCAAAGAGACAUACAUCUUAUCUUAUAUUAUUAACAAAUUAAAUAAGUUGAAAAAAAAUGAAGGAAGCAGAAAAGCUAACUACAAAAUCAAAAUCAAAUUCCUCAAGAAAGUUCUUUUCUUAACCCAAAAUUUCAAUUAUAGUUUCUUCUUUAACACUGUGUCUUUGUAAACAGAGAAUUGCAACCAUAGUACAUCACAAAGUAAGAAAAUUCGAGAAGAAGACAUGAAUGAAUAAAACUACACCUUAAAAUGGUAUGAAAUUAUUGAAAAUCUUCAGAGAUCAUCCGUGCAGCAUGGGAGUUAUAACUUAAGAAGAGGCUUCAUUAAAUCAAUUGCUCCAUGCUUAUUCUAGAGAAGCCUUAUUGAUGAUGAAAGGUGUAACAGAUAUUUUCUAGUUCGUGGAUAUUAGGCAGCCACGUAAUUAGAAUUACAAAAUAUCUUAACGAAUAGAACUUCCACCUCCUGGUUUUACUUGAACUAUUUGCCCUUCAAAUGAACAUUUAUUUUCAAUAAUGCCAGUGGUCGUCCAUCUUGUUGGCUCUUCUAUAAUAUAGUAUAUAUAUAUAUAUAUAUGUAAUAAUAAAUAAUUAUAGCAACAGCUAUAACAUACUUUUACAACAAGUAUUAAUUCAGUCUUGGUAUUUUUUUUUCUUAAUUCUGUAGCUUUGGUUCAUCUGUUAUUCUUGAAGUUUUAUGAAUUAAAGAGGGAUGAAAACAUAACUUCCUUUUCAUUAUAUAUAUAAUACAAAGUGUUGUUUUCUAUUUUCUACUAGAACAAAAGAAUGGGAAGAUCAAAAAUCAAGGUGGAACUAAUUAAAGAUGACAAGAAGAGGAUGAAAACUUUAGUGACACGAAAGGCUGGCUUGUUCAAGAAAAUUUCGGAACUGUCAAUACUUUGCGAUAUCAAAGCAUGCAUGAUCAUAUAUGAUGAAGGAAAUAAUACUAAUUGUGAAAUGUGGCCAAAUGAUCCAAAUGAGCUCAUAAAUCUCUACAAAAAAUCAACCAUUUGAAGGACCAACCAAAAGGGGUAAAACAUUGUCCGAAGAUGAGAUCAAAGUAGAAAAGGAUCCGGAUUCAAGAUUUGACUAUUUCAAGAAUGAUGAAAAGAAAAAGACUGAUGUGAUCAAAGUAGAAAAGUAUCCGACUUGGGAUUCAAGAUUUGACUAUUUAUCUCAAAAAGAAUUGCAAAAUCUUGCUGGUGUUCUUGUGAAUAGGAUGGAGAAUGCAAAAGGAAAAAUAGAAUUGUUGAAGAGGGUGAAUGGAAGUUGCUCACUUUCUCAUUGACAACAAAUAUGGGACUAUAACAACUUGAUGAACCAAACUACUACUCUUUUUAACAACAACUUGUUUCAAUCAAAUAUUCCAGUUAGUAGUACUGUGAAUUCAAUGGGAGCAGGGAUGGAUUAUCAAUUUUGUAAUGCUAAUUAUUCUAUGAUGAAUGAGUCUGAAAACUGGUAUGGAGUUGGUUUAAGUUUGACAAUGAUGCAACAUAAUAUGGCAAAUAAUGGAAUUGGUUCAAGUUCAACAAUAUUGCAUCCUAUGGGGAAUAAUUAUGGGAUUAUUGAUUCAAGUUCGACAAUGAUGCUGCCUAUGGGGAAUAAUGAGAUUGGUUAAAGUUUGACAACGCAGCCUAUGGAUGAGUACCCUUUCAUAUACACCGACUCUACUCAUGUCAUUGGUCCAAGUUCGACAAUGCAGCCUCCUAUGGGGCAGUACCCUUUCACAAACAAUGACGACUCUACUGGAGAUAUUGGUUCAAGUUCAACAAUUCAGCCUAUGGGGAAUAAUAAUGAGAUUAGUUCAACUUUGACAUUAAUGCAACCUAUGGACAAUGACUCUACUUAUGAUUCGUGUACAUUUUAUUUUUGAUCAUUAGUAUAUUCGUGCACUCUUUUGUUUACUUUUGAAGUUGUUGGAUCAGAGUAAACAAACUAGGAACUGGCUUUUGAGUUAGAUCAAAUGUGGCUUUUGUGAUGAUAUACAUAUUUGUUUAUAUAUAUUACACUUUGCACGCCUUUUUAUCAUAAAUACUGCAAACGAUAUUACACAAAAUUAGAUUCAUUUCCAACAUGAACGUGAUAAUGGACUUACAAUACCGCAUAUGAAAUAUGACAAGGUAAUCUAGAUAUUAGUACAACGAUAAGGGAAAAGUACUGUAAGAACUAUACAGCAACAGGGUAUUAUUGUAUAUAUAAUAACUUCAUAACAACAGUGAAUCGUAUAACAACUUGUAAUUAUUAUUUUAGUGUAAGUUAAAGUUCAAUGACAUAUUAUAUCAGAAAACUUAGUAGUUAAUAGAAACAUAGAUAUAAAAAAAUAAUUCAUAGGUUCAAAAUGGAGUAGUGGAGAACUUUGGAAGAAAGUAGGAGCUGUACAUUACUCAGUCUCGCUUAUCAUCAAUAUAUAAACUUUUAUGAAAUGGUUUCACGGGAUUCAUCCAACUGUCUUGAUCAUUAAUUGAGCAAUAGAGAACCUGAUAUCCGAUGCAAAUCAGUCAAAGGAUCCAUUUAGUGUUUUCAAUUUGAGCACGAAUAGAAUUGUAUAGGAAGUACAUAUAUUUUGAAUUAACCUGAAGAAUAGAUAGUUUACUAUCCAUAUCAUACUUGGGAACAAGUCGUAUAUGAAUUCGUUGCUGACAAUACGAUUGGGGAUCACCUCUCUCAUUCAUAUUUCUAGUUGUACCUGAAAUAAGUUAUCAUGUGCCAUAAGCAAAUCAUGUUUUCAAAUUGUACGUAGAUAUUUGAAUUGUGUCAUAUCACCUUGAGCUUAAAAUUGGUCCAAUUUGAUUUGUUCAAUCUUAAAAAUUUUAGAAUAAAUUACCUAUAUACACACUUUUAUUUUUCAUAAUUUUCAUUAUUUCUUACCAUUUCAAAAUUCCUUGUUUUAACCUAAUUCUAAAUCAACUGGAUACAUAACUAUACCUGCCUUAACCCACGUUUUCCCUUUUUCUUUUUCACUCCUUUAAUCUCCCGUAAUUUCUCUCCACAAAAUCUUAUCAGUUACAAUUUUCAUAUCAAUUUGAUUUUUAGAAGAAUUCUCUCUGUCAAUCAAAUCCAGACUACUCAUCACUACAACAAAUUUAAUUAAUAGCGACAAAUAAUUUUGUCACUAGAAACACACAUUUUGUCACAAAAAGAAUUUUGUGACAAAAAAUAAUUUGUCAGUCACUCUAAAGCAUGGGUCACUAAAAGUAUACACAGAUAAUUUAGUGUUUCGUCACUAAAUAAGAAUGUAUUAACUACGAAAAUAUCUUGUGUCCCAAAAUAAUUCGUAUUUAUGACUUCGUCAUAAAAAUUAUUAAAAUUUUUGGGUAAAGAUAUAUUUUUGUCACUAAAUAGGUUAUUAUAGCCGACGAAAAUGAUGUGUCACUAAUUAUUUAGUUUAAUUAGUGACAAUAGUAUUUUAUGUAUUUCGUAGUAAAGCAAAUAAUAUUUUGUCACUAAAAAUUAAUUUUUACAUACAAUUUUUCUGUUGUCCCUAAAGGUAAAAAUUAGUGACAAAUUUAUAUUUAAAUAACUUUGUAAUUAAAACAAUCAUUUCGUCUCUAAAAAUAAUUCUUUUGCCAACAAACGAAAUUGUCACUAAAAAAUAGCACAAAUAAGUAGGCAAUUUUUGGGAUAAAUUUUUUUUUGUCACAUAAUGGCAUACUUUAAUAACGAAAAUGUUAUCGUCUUAAAUAAAUUCAUCACUAAUAAUUGUGCUUUUGUAGAUAAAAUGAUGUCACUAAUGACAUUUAAACUUGUAGCAAUACUAUUUACAAUUUGUAUUAAGGUCCAUAAAUUUAAAAUUUUAAAAUUAUUAAAUAAUACAAAUUUAAAAUAACAAGAUACCAAGAGAAGCAAGAUAAUAAUAACUAACAUAGUUACACUAACAUAGAAUACUUAAGAACUAAAAUGUCAUUCAUGAGAUGAUAUUUCAUUACAUAUUCCUUGAGGAAAAAGUACUAUUAAGUAACAUUUACUAAACAUUAACAAAACUAAGGCAACAAAAUGGAGGUUGUUUCUCAAAAUGCAAUUACGAGCACUUCUCUAAAUACUAGUCUUGAUUUCCACUUUCUACGAAAUCCGUAUGAAAUUUAAAAGAAAAUCUAAGAAUUAGUUUGAUACUUUAUAGUAAGAUAAUAUACAAGAACAUACUUAUUGAAGUCUUGAGAGUGUAAGAUACACGCAAAUUUUACCUCUACCCCUUGCAAUGUAGAGAAGUUGAUAGUAAUAAAUUUCCCACUCAAAAGAAAUGUAACAGACACAGGAAAAAAUGAAAGAAAAAGAAACAACAAAUAGUAUCCCCAUUCCUUCUACAGAGGAAAAGACAAUCAAUAGGCCACAAUUCUUGCAUCUUCUAUUACCAUAGUUCUGCAUUACACUAUAUCAAACAGUAAAUUUUCUACGUCAAAUAUCAUCUUUAAGGAGAUAAAACCUUUAGGAAAAUCAUUUGACUACAAAACAUAUUAUAAAUUAUACUAACAGUCACAUGAAUCAAGUAUGUCAAUCUGUUCCAUCUGCAUGCGUCCAACUUGUAUGUAGUGUUUUUAAAUCUGCAACAAUUGCAAUUGUAUCUCGCCUUAUGGAUGGUUGAUCUCUAAAGAGUGUUUGAUCAAAUAGUGACUACAAGAUUGAUGAAAAUGAAGCCAAUUUCUAUUUUAAGGAAAUAGUGCAACCACAAAGAGUAAUUAACUGUAAAUUUUUAAUUACAUAGUUAACUUCAAGAAAAUUUUCUCCUAUUCAACUCUCUAUACUAAUUAUGACAGUACAUAUAAUUAGUAUAUAUACUAUGAUUUAUAAUUUUUUUACUAUAUGUACUCAUUUAAGUGGUAUUAUUGUAAAGUGCAUCUGGCUCACAUAUUAAAACUAUUGUUAAAAUUAAAUCCCCUCAUCUAACAAGUAACAACUCAAUUUGCUUGCUAAAUUCAAAAACAAAUUUUAUUUAAUCUUCCAAUCAAGAAUUUUUUUGUACAUUCUCAUUCUUGGGUCAUUCUAGAGAGAAAUGUUAAAUCGCUGCACAUGUACAUCAUUAGCAGCCAGUUUGAUUAACUAUAUAGUUUAUUAAAAGAUCAGUUAAGUUGGUGUUGCAAUUCUUUCAUUCUCAAUCUACUAAUAUUCCUCCAGCUACACUCCCAAAAUCACGUUAAACAUUGUUCAAAAAAGGUUCUACAUGUCGCAGACUUUUAUAAUUUUAACAAACAAUUGUUUUUUAUGGGUUAUUUCAUAAUACACAUGUGUAAUAAUCAACAUUAGAUGAAAUUUAACCACAUAAUGAGUCUAUAAUUGGAACGCAAAAAUUUUCAGGACAAAAAAUAAAUCUAAGGCACAUAAAGAUUGCAAUCCAAACAUAAAAACACAGAUUUUUACACUAGUUUUCUAAAUUGAAAAAAAUAUAUAGGCAGUGAGUUAUACAAAGAAGAAAAAAAUUGAGUAGUUUGAUACCUAAGCAGAAACAAGAACGAGUAACUACCUAAACUAUGAAUAGAUACUUACUGUAUUGACAACAUACAGAUCUGGAAGAUGCCUCAAUAGCCAAUACUAAUGACUUGAAAUUGUCUUGUAACACCCCGUAGCCAAAACAGACCAAAAAUUAG